rnacentral:lncRNA from 1 species
AAUUGAAGGGAGUCCUUGUGAUGUGAAAGAACAACCACCUAUCAAGCUUUUUCUCUUAAUCGAAUCUGACCUACCUACAUUUAACAUUUAAUAUACACUAUUCCAUAUGAUAAAGCAUAACAUUCGACUUGUAAGCCUUCCAAGGAACAUCCCCUUCUAUUAAAUUUACAAACUGAUUUGGGAAUCCAAGAAAAAACAAUGUUGUUCAGUGUUCACUUUAUAGAUAUUGACCACAUUCUCAGAUCCCAAAAUGGUAGCAAUAGGUCCCAUACAACAAAACACCGUCACUGAUCCAUACUCUACAAUAUAACACCGUCACUGUUACUUACGGCAGAGUAUUUUAUAUAAACUAGAUCAAAUGGAAUUGAGCAAUGGUGGGACAGCAUUGAUGAAAUGUAUUAUAUUGGUAUAUAUACAUAAAAAUUUACUGUAAUAUAAAACCUGAAGGCUGAAGCAGCUGGGUGCAAGCCAGAAAGCUAUUAUUUCUUCAUUUCUACCACAUUAAUUACUACUCCAAUUUCUCCAGUAAUGAACUUGAACGAUGUAGGAUCACUGCAAAUCUCAAACAUUUGCAAGAAUGUUCUAUACCAAGGGUGGCACAGUUCCUGCUUUACCUAACUGCAAUCCUGUAUUUACAACCGCAACCAUAGACGCACAAAAAAACAAAUCCGAGAAGUCCGUGCAAUCCAAUUCGGAAAAGAACGAUCCUAAAAAGAACUGUCCGGCAAUGUUACCCGGACUCGGGUGAAAAUGUCCAACGUGGAUACGUGUCCGAGUAUCAACUUGGUGAUAUUGUGAAAAUUUUACAUGUUUUUGACCUAAAUUAAGUGUCGGAGUGUCCAUUACCAUGUCCGAGUAUCGAGUGUCACGAUACUCGAGACAAAAUGAAGAGUAAGCAUAAAGUAGCCAUUUGGUACCAAGGACCUAAAAGGGCCACGUAUAUUUCCCAAAAGCCUGGCUUUGCUCGAAAAAAACCCGGAUUUGGCCUGAUCCGGAAAAAACCCGAAUCCUUAUUAAAGCUCGAUUGGGGCCGGGUAAAAGCUGGGUAUAGUCCAGAUUCUUAUUAAAAAAAUAGUAGAAACUCAAACAAAUUAAUGUUUUUAUCAAAUUUUGCUAAAAUCUGGGUUAAUUUGCUAUUUUUUAGCCAAAUCAGAAAAUAGUCAUAUAUACUAAUAUUUUAAUAUAUAUAUAUAUAUAUUGAAUAUUAUUAUAUAUAUAUAUAUAUUGAAUAUUCGAAAAAUAUAUCUAGAGUAUAAGAAAAAUCCCGAUCCGGGGGCCUAGAUAUUGUUAAGAAAUUUUGGUCCGGCCCGACCUGUUUUGAAAAAGCCCACUCUAAACCGAUUUUAAAAAAAGUCAUAUUUUUUAGGCCAGCCCGAAUCUGGUUUUGUGCAUCUCUCUGCGCAACUAUAUACAGUAUUGUUGUAUCUUAAGUCUUAACGACACUAGAGUACUAGACUAGACGAAUAUAUACAGGCAUACAGCAUGCCACAUUUUUAUUCCAACGAGUGGAUGUUUAUGGUUAUUCUCAAGCACUAGCAAAAAGAAUAAAUUUGUUACAUUAAAAAAAAUGUUAUCCUCAAUAUAAAUAUCACUCUAGUUUCAAGCCUAUCCUCUAGAAGACAAGAACCAUCAUAAAUGACCUCAGAUCCAAUGCCCAAUCAUAAAUCAGGACAAACCUUAUAAAACACACAGAUAUAUAUACACUAGAAGUCAAUGUUUAAAACAGGAAAAGAAAUGCUAAAUUUUAAUUUCAUUACAUAGUAAAAGAGAGACCGACCAAAUAGAAACUGAUGAUGAAAGAUGAAACCACAUCAAUAGUACAAUAGACUUACAGAUGAUAUCAAAUGCAUCUGGAACUUGUCAGAGACAACUAUAUAUACUCAUGCAGAUCUAGUUGGUUGUCCAAAUCCCAUAUCACAACUUUUCCAUCCAUCCCUGUUUGAUUUAGGUGGAAGUUACAGCAAAGAGAUUCAUGUGUAUACAGGAAUCAUCAGAUGACAAAGGAAAGUUCAUCACACACUGACCUGAGGUGCUAAAGCGCAUUGUUGUAGAGUCCUUAGCUUUAUUGAGUGGCAUAAUACAACUGGAAUUGUAGGGAGGAGAGUAAAAUAAAAAACAAACAUGUAUCAGGUUUACAAGAUUCUGAAAUUCAACAACAAGAUUAAAAAAAACAUAUAUAUUUAAAUACAGCACAUUAUAGGCAAAUAAAGAGUACUUGAUACAGUUUUCAUGGACAUUUCCAUCGGGAAUAGAAACUUGGACAGUAUCAUUGCCGGUGCUGUAUUUCGAUUGUCCAUACAGUUUCCCAAAUGCUCCUGACAGCUGAAACCAGGGAAAACAUAUUACAUAAUUCCAUUGCCAAACAGUUAUCCUCACACAUAUGAAGUGAAAUAAAAAUGACCAAGCUACUUGUGGUCAUAUCUGAGUAACAACAAUCAAACUUGGUCCAGACGACUCAUUAAAGUGGAGUACAUAGCUUAAAAAUUUCUUUGCUGGGAGUCAUUUAGGUUUACAAUUUCACGAGUGAUUGACAUACUUAAAUACAUAUCCUAUCCUCAUGGUUUAUAGAGAUGGAAAGUCAUGUAGCUAACCAAUAUCUACUAGGUUGUACAAAUAUUUUACGUCGUGAUGACAGAGCUAUCUACUUCUUUUUUACCUAGGUAUUAACUGACAUUUCAUGAAACAUUUCGACAGGUAAUUGUCAGUCAAUCAAGCAAUGCCAGUCUAUCAUGUAGUUAAAACUAUUUGAUAACAUAGUCCCAAAACCGAUGGCAGGUAUAAUCUAUAAUGUAUUAUUGCUGAUUAGUUGCUAGCUUCUCUGAACUCUUGUUUACUUUGCUCUUUCGCACACUUCUCCUGAUUGAUUCUUACAAACCUAGAUUGCCCUUGUUAGAGAUACAGGAAAUUUUGCUCAAGUAUACAGGUACAGAAACGCCCUCAACUAAUUAUGAUUUUUCAAUUUUGUUCUUUUAACAAUCUAAGCAAAAAUCACUAGUAAUAUUGUUGUAAUAUUAUUCUAAAGAUAAAAUUGCUAAUUCAUGUUAUCUUUAUAGUGAUAUUGUAAACCUUAAAUUUUGAAAAACUUAUUUCUGCAUGUAACUAUUACAGUCAAUAAUAUCCUGUUUGACAGUAUAUACUAAAAAUAUUCAAAAAAAAAAUAGUUUACAAUAGUUUAAUAUCUUAAUAGUAUUUAUUUGCAAAACCAUUGUGCCAUAAGUAUAUAACCAACCACAUAAAUCCUUCACUAUCUAUUUUCUCUGGUGCACCUUUUUUUCCUAAGCUCAAUUUUUUAACUAAAAAAAAGAAAAGAAUUAUCAAAAUACAGAGUACUAAUCAAAUUAUAUUACUGUAUUAUGUUAUAUAAUAUAUUUCACUUACAAUUAAUAUAUAUAAGAUAACAAGCUGAGAAAUACAUUGAUAAUUCAUAAUUAUGGCCUUUAACUAAAAUCUGGUUUCAGAUUAUAUGGACAAACAUGAUGCACAACUUUAUCUUUACACUCUCAGUGGUUUCUCACAAUUUUAAUUAUCAUUCUAACUUUAUAAUUGUACAUUAAUAUCGACGAGUUUAUAUUCACAUAUUUUCUGUUAUAUAUAUAUAAAUGUGCCCUCCUGAUUGGUUGCCCACCUCACAAAUGCUCAGGCACCCCUUUAUAUAUCACAAAACAAAAAAGAAAGAAACAUAUAAAUCUGAAAAGUUUAUAGAUAAGGUAAAUGCUUCAAUAUUUUUUAUUUAGUGCAACAACUUCUCUUCCUUAGAUUAAUAUAUACACACAUAUAUUACACUCAUCAAAACUGUGCCACAAGGCCACAAAAGAAGCUGAGAUCCAUGCAAGAACAGCAUGCCUUGCAAGCUUUAUUUAUUAGUUAAGUUGCCGAAAAGAAAAGACAAAGAGAUGCAAUCUUGCACUUAUACCUGUGAACCAUAUUUAACACCAGCAGAUGCUGUUUUCCUUUCAGUAAGGAACCUGAUGAAGCUCCUGAAACAUAGUAAAGAGAUAUUGAUUCAUUAUUCCUUGGUAUAUUAUGCAAAAACAAUCUGCAAUGAAAUGCUGAGUGCUGACCCAAAUAACAUUGGAGCCUCCAAAAUAAAUAAGUACAGAACUAAACCAGCAUCAAUUUGGACAAAAAUCUCUAGAAGUAAAAUAGCUUUAUUAUUUUCAGACAAAUUUGAUACCAUAUUCCUCUCUCAUCUGCCGCAAAUACCAUUGGAUUGCAAUCGUAUCCAACACCAAUGACCAUUCUCUCAGAAACAAAUAAUACCUGCAAAGACUGAUGUGUCAAUUACUCAAAUUCCAAAAAACAGGCCAGAAAAAAUAUAGGAUAUUUUCUUUAGAGUGAUGCUGACCCACAUCACGAAGUGGUAAAUCACGGAAUGCUACGGUUUGGGCAGAAGGGGAAGGACCAAUGUCAUCCACAAAGUGGAUAACGGAAUUAUGACCUGAAAAUCAUCGAGUUACGAAUAUGUUAGAUAUCAACAAUACUGACACCAUGUAUUUAUGACUUCGAUUCACAAUCAAUUGAGGACUAAAAUGGAGAAAGUAACAAAAUAGAAUUCCUCGACUUAUUUUUGUGUUUAUAUUGACAAGUUGACAAGGUGCAAAGAACAACUAUUGCAUAAUCCUUUAAAAUGCUCAACUUCUAUAGAAUUCAAAUCCUAUUAUCCAACAGGAUUCAACUGGAGUAACGUUUAUCAGUAAAAGGAACAACUUUUAUCAUGACAGGUUCAUUGACCAUUAUAAAUAAAUGUACCCAGAGAUCCUGCAAAACCAAUUUUAUGAGCUUGCAAACUGUAAUUAAAGGCAAAGACCAAAUUCUUACCAGUAUAAGCUAAGGUUUUGCCACUUGGUGACCAUUUGACACCAAAUGCCCAGCCAAAUGAAAGAUCAAGUUGAACAAUUUGCUGCUCAGAGAAAAAUUUGGGAACAGGAAAAAUGUAAAAAUAAAGCUAUGGUCUUCGAACACAAAUACACUAUUCUUCAUAAAGGUGCCCUUGUUAAGACAAACAACACAAGUACAAGUAAUGGGAAAAACACUGUACGAACAGGCAAUAUUAAAACAACUUACCGCAGACUACAUAUAUGGUAAGGGUACAAAAAUGUGAAUUGUGCAUGACACUAUUUAGUGCAGAAUCCAUAAUAUAUUUUAUAAGCCAUUCACCCUAAGUGGCAGCUAAAAAUCAAUUCAUAAUUUUUUCGUACAAAAGCAUGGCUUGAUUUUGAAACUUUAUUGUAGAGGAGUACCCAAGUUCACACACAAGGUUUACUAGAAUUCAGGAUCUGGCAUUUAAUAACCAAUAAAGUUUGCAAAUGCGUGUGGCGCAGUGCAUAUAGUUGAAAGAAUAACUGGGCUAUCGUAAAGGUGAAGUGUUCAUGAGUUAAGAGGUAGCAUGAAUGUAUUAGUCCAAAAGAACUUUUAUCUGUCACGGUUCUUAAAUUCAGUUUUUUAUUCUUUUAGUCAUUGUAGGCAAGACACAAUUCUACUGAAUACUGUGUAUUUAUUUUAAAAGACAAUUAGUAAUGUUACAAGAUAUGUAACGUUAAAAUGAACCUCGCCAAAUUUUGCAUCCGAUGAAGACCCUGCUCCUGAACUCCUGAUCCAUGAUAACGAUGGAUUUAAUUAAUCAGCACAGUAAUAUUAACAAAAACAAGUGCAAGGAUAUUUACACAACGCACAUAUAAACUUGUAGUGGUUAAGACUAGUUUAUUACUAUAGCAUACCUCUUAUCAACACCCUUUAUGAAAGUGGAAAAUAUUCGGCACUUUGCAUCAGUAGAUGUAGUAGCUAGUAAAAUCUAUUGGAAGACAGAACAGUGAAAUAUUUCAGUAGACCAUUUGUAACAUCAUAUAAAUUAAGGAACAGUAAGCAACUUUAGUAUGGUGUCAUUAUCCUCUUCUUGCAGUCGAAGGUGGUGCAAUGAACUUAAGAGGCUUUUUUUUUAAAACCAAAAAAUAGAUAGAAAAUGUAAGAAUUAGAGAUUUGAACUGGCACUAGAGCCUGAAACUCAUAACAUACAGCAGCUCUUGUUCAAAUAUAUGCAUUAAACAAUAGCAUUACUCACAUUAUUAGGAUGCCAAGCAACGCUUGUCACAGAAGAGUCGUGUUUUUUCCUUAUAAGCUUGCUGACCCACCUGAUAGUAGGAUAAGCCACAAAGACAAUCACAGUCUAAUAUAUACAUUUAAAUAUGUAUAUAGGAUGCAAGAAACAGUAGGACUUUCUUUCCAAUAAUAUGUUCUAUCCAAUAAGUUUAUGAUCCUUUCUUAUCUUUUCUUCUCCUAGAUAAGUAGAUAUAUUUGACAUUGAUCAUGCAGUUGCAGAUAAAUAUAAUAAAACUCUAAACACUAUAAAUCUCCAUAAUAUAGACAUACUCCCCAAGACAUGGUUGACACGUCAGUAAGUCAAGUCGAGUCUAUGGUCCUCUGGAUAAGCGACUACUCGAUUAGAUGUAGACUAGUCGAUAAAUUUUAUGUAAUAUAUAAAAGUAUAAGUAUAAUUAUUAAUUAUAAUGAUAUAAUACAUAUUAUAUAAUUCUAAUUUUUAAGAUUUAUGACCUAUUCAAAGCUUGUAGUUUACAUCUUCAGGAAUUUGAAGAAAAUAUGAAAUAGAAAGAUAAAAUAGUCGUCCAACUGAUUCAAGUGAAUAAAGAACUAGUCAACUGAGAUGAACAAUUGAUAAUAUGAUUAUUUCAUGUUUAAACGUAACUGGAGAUGUGCAUAAAUGCAAAUAAAGUCACUAAUUCAUAUUGUUAUUUACUAAUUCACAUUCUUAAUGGAGCAAUAUUAUCAUAUUGAAAACUCGUAAAUAUAAAGGCACAAAAUUAGAGAGUCUAGACAGAUACAGUAAAGGCACAAAUCUGGACAGUCUAGACUGAUGCAGCAAAGGCAGAAAACUGGAAAAGAGCAGAAAAUCAGAUAAAAAAUAGAUGCUAGAAAACGUAAACUCAAAAACUAAAACUUAUGCAGAAAAAAACUUGUACAAUGUGGGAAAACAGUGCAGCAAUGGAGAAAAAAUAGUACAGUUAACUAGUCGACUAGUUGACUAGCCAGGUCGACUAGUCGAGACACUUAGUCGCCCGACUUUCUUGCAUUCAUGAAAUUCAGGUGUAUUCAACUCGGAUUUUUAAAAAAAUGUAUCGAAAUCAUGGGGUAUUCAAUUAGGAUUUCAGAUUAUCCUAAAAAUCUGGCCGUAUUCAAUCAAGAUUUUAAAUUAUGCUUAAAAUCCAAUCGCAUUCAAUUGGGAUUAUUAAAAAUUAAAAAUCCAUUAAAAUGUGAUAGUAUUCAAGUGCAAAUGAAUUUUUUUUUGGACUUCAUAAAAUGAUGGAUAGCGUAUUUUAUGCUUUUUGAAAUCCCACCAUAAUCACAGGAUUUUGAAGCAUUGUGCUUAAAUCCUAAGUACCCUGUAUCAACUUUAUGAAUUUUAUCUAGAAUCCGUUAAACUCCACAUAAAAUCAAAAUCAAAUAUAAUCCAUUAUAAUCCAUACAUUAUUAUUAAUCCAUUAUAAUCCCGAUUGAAUACAGCCCUAUAAGUUGCAAUCUCUAUAAUCUAGGGUACACAAAUCAGGUAAAGCUGAAAUUUUUUUAUAUAAAUUAUACCCAAUAUAGAUUACUUGAAGUGAUACACAAUAAUUUACAAGUCCAAAAGAGACGUUAAUUUGGCUUAAGCAGGAAACUUUUGAGGAAAAAACCAAAAUGUUAAAUUUUAAAAUAUUAAAAUUGUCGCAAUUUGGAAAGAAAAUACAGAGUGCAGUGUAAGCUACAAAAAUUUUCAGCCGUGUACCAAAAGCACGCUACAAAAAUACAUAUAAUUUUGGCACUUAUACAACUAAAGAGGUCUAGGAAAAGAGUUAACGAAUUACUUUGUAACCAUAUAAUUACCAGUUAUUUUCUUGCUCGUAGUAGCAUAUGCAAACAGUUUUGGCACCACUUCCAACAGCAAAUUUGUUCCCUAAUGAGGAUUACAAGACUUGUUAGAUAUGCCAACCAAAUUCUUCAGACCAAGACCUAAAGAAGUCUCAAUUAGUUUCAUGAUCAAACUCAAAAAAAGAGUAGAGAUUGAAAAGUACUUGCAAAAAUGAAACAUAAAGUUUAAAGAACUUUUUAGAAUGGGUGAAUACCUGUAUUAAUGUGAUUAUGUGAAUAUAGAUUGUGACUGUGGUUAUUCACUCAUGACUAUUUGAUAUUUAUAUAAUAAACUUCAGUCAUUUUAAAAUACAUUUAAAUUAUGUAUUUUGUGUAUAUAAGUCAAAAUUCCUAUACUUGUAAUAAUAUGAUCUUCUGCGGUUCAAAUUUUCAGCAAUUCAUAUGUUACUGAAUUACUUGUACCAGAAAGUAAAUCUCAAUAAGAUUCUAGCACACCAAAUGACAGUUUAUAAUAUAAUAACUACAAGUGGUACAAUAAGCAAACAUUAAAAGAAUCAACUCAGCUAGUAUAAUAUUGCACACAUUUAUGACAAUGAGCAGUAAUCCCAUCAGAAUGAUUCAGGAAACUUGAAACAAGAAAGUGGAGACAAAUGCAUGUAAUGAUGAUGAUUGACAGAUAUAUGGGCCAGAAAUGUAAUACAACACCUCUGGGACUCCACUGAACACAAAGUGCAGCACGGUUUAUCCUUAAUAUAACAAGAGUGGGAACCCAAUCUGCCCCUUCCUGGUUCCACACAUAUCUGAAGGAAGAAAUAAAUAUAUGAUUUAAAAUCAUAAAUGGAACAGACGAUUAAAAUAGAAGAAAUUGUGAAAAUGCCAAACAUUCGACAAAGUUAUUCAGGCCAAUAGCCACAAUAGGGCAAUGACGGAAAUGAAUUUUAUAAAUAUUAAUGUUAAUGAUUGCAGAACUCAAUAGUCAAAAGUGACUUACGAAUUCCUAUCAUGAGAUACAGUGACGAUUCUGUUGGAUGAUAUGCUCCAAUCUAUCCCAGAAACAAUUUGAUCGUGCUGUGGAAGAAAGAAUAAGAAACAAAUCAAAGGAUAAUCUUAUGUGCAUAUAUAGCUUUGAUAUAUCCAACAGACAUAAGUAUAAUAACCAGUAGCAAAUUAUAGACUGCUAUAUCAUUAUGACAUUAUAAAGUAACUUAAAUUUUUUAUUCUUAAUAACCUAUGCAUGUGCAACAACUCUGCACAAAAAAAAAAACGGAUUAACAUACUAUGUUAAUAUCCGAGCAUGAGGGGAUAACGUCAAUGUCACUGUAGUGACAAAUCAACAUAGCUUAAAUUACUGCAGAAGUAGUAUAACUACUAUAGUAGCUUAGCAAAAACAAACAAACUACUACAGUACUACAGUAGUAAUGUAUUAUGUAGGCAGAAAGUGUUUUCCUAUAUAUAUAAAUACUCAAUCGCUCUUGUAGGAAGCACAACUGAUAUAUCAGAAUAUAUACACUACAAAUAUAUUGUCUUCUUGAAUGAAGCUCAACGUUUAAUCUAAUCUUAUGUAGAUAUAUACCGAUAUAAGUACACACUGUAAAGAUGUUAUGUGAGCAAUAAGAUUCAUUUUGCUCAAAUAAGCAUCAAUAUUAUGAGUACCAAUGUGCAGUGAUAUGUUGAAGAAGCUGCAAAUGAAGGGGCACAAGUGAAAUUCAUAUAAAAUAAUCCCUACAAUAACUUAAAUACAACAAGAUACAAUUACCGCUAAGAUAGAAAUUAUUCUUCUAACUGAGAGGAACGUUAAACACAUUGAAUAAUAAACCAAACUAAUGAGCACUAAAAAAAAGCUGACAAGGGGAACCUUUUGAAGAACAUGCAUCUUCUCCCACUUUUCUUGUAAUAAUCUAUAGAUGUGUACUUCAUUACUGUUUGGGCAGAACGCAAUCACUGCAAAUAUUGUAAGAACAAAUCAGAACGUCGCAUCAAAAGGGGGCAGGAGACUAGCCCAACAACCAUAUUCGUGAAAUAAAAAGAUGUUCACAUUGCCAUUCUAAUCUUGUACUGGUUCCGUGCAUUGAAAUGUUCGAUCAUAAACAGUCUAACACUAAUAAGUAUUAAUAUCAUAGAAACUCUAUAUUUCAUAGAACAGGGAAAUACAAAAUUGCCUUAUUAUCAAAUCAAAAUAUACACAUGGAAAGUGAUAAUCAAUGUGUAAAAACAGUAGAUAAUUAUAGAAAUUUGAUAAUUAAUUAAGAAAGCAGUAAAUUGCUGUGUGUGUGGGGGUUUGGGGGGGCGAGAGAGAGAGAGAGUACUGGAAUGAUCAGGGCUCCAAGCGUGACAAGUAGUGCACUGAGCGAACUGAUGAGCUGCUGUUGCCGCCAUUCAAUUUUUGACGAUCUGCCUAUCGAUCCAAAAUAUAUCAGUAAUUCGAUGAAAUCUUACAAGAUUGAUUUAUUGAAUUCGAAUAAUAAAUUGAGAUGCUUAGAAAUACCGAAAAUGAGGGGGGGAGCUUGGUGAGGAUUAUCCGAUUGACGCACCUGAGAGGACGGAGAGACGAGGAGAGCCUUUAAGUUUUGAUUUACGAGUCGGUUUCAAGUCGGGAUCGUCUAGUCCGAAAAUAAUUAAGCGGUGCGCGGAGUCGCGGACAGAUGAACUUUUCAGAUUGAGUAUUUCUCAGAUUAGUUGCCAACGGUAAAUAAAAAAAAAAGAUAAUAUCUGCAUUAAUUUAUAGGUAUUUCUUCCUUUUCUUUUUGUGUCAAGGUUUUCUAAAUAUUAUAUUUAUUUAUCGGAUAAUAUAGGGAAAUAUUACCAGCUGUUAAAUAUCUGAUAGUGGUGUUGCUUUUUCCUUUAAAGUUGGGUUAUGGUAUUCAUUACAAAUAUUAGGUGUUUUUUUUCCCAUAACAAAUAUUAGGUGUUUACUAACAAAUUUAUGUGAUGCAAAUUUGUGCCAACAAAAGUUUAAUAAACAAAUAUGAGAUCGUGGAAAUGUGAUCGAUUAAAGUGCAACUCCAUUCGAAUUUUUUUAUUUUCUGACCACAUUUUAUCUGUCCUUUUGAAAUCAAAGAGGCUAUUAAGCUAAAGAUCCUACUUAUCUUGAAAAAAAAAAUAAUAUUUUUUAACAAUCAUUUUUUUUUUAAGUUUGAUAGUUUUUUUCAGCAAUUAAUGUUUUUCCAAGCAAUAGCAAUAACGUUUUCCUGUCUCCAUUAUUUUGAAAUCCUGGUUUACAAUUCUAGAGCUGUUAUUAUACUCCUACGAAACUUAGUUUGAACUCAUAAUGAAGAUUGGAUUAGUAAAACUGUAAAAGUAGUUAUUAUUUUUUUAAUUUGCUAAUAGAUUAUAGCAAAUCAUCUUUGAUCCAAGUUGCCUAUGUUUCCAGUUGCACGGCUGAUGCACGUCACCCCAAUUGUCCAUUGUAACGGAGUCGGCCACUAAUAAAAUAAAACUUCAAAGUUAUUGAUCGAUAAGAGCAUCUCCGAGAGGCUCUUCAUUUACACUCCUAACUUGAGAUUUGAGGGAGAGAAAAAAUGUUGCUUCAAGAGACUUUUAAGUGACUCUUAAAUCUUAGCCUCUUGUUUCUCUCUCCUCUCUCCUCAAAGUUAAGAGCCACCACAUGGCUCCUAACUUAUUUUUUUACAAUAGAAAAAUCUUUCUCUCAAAUUCACCUCCAUCUUUCACUCUCUUUUGUUGUAGUGGAGCCCAGUAUAUGAAUAAAACAUGAAAUAGAGAAGCAAAGUAGAGAGUAUUGUUGGAGUUUACACUCUUAACUUUGUUCUAAAUUGCUAAGAGCCACAUUUUUUAUAUUAUAUUUAAGAGCCAACAAGGAGGCUCUUGGAGAUGCUCUAAUGCUUUGAUGAGUUUGAGACCUCUCGACUCUCGUGCAAGUCCAAUUAGGGGUGUACACGGUUCGGGUUGGGCGGGUUAAAGAAAUUUAAUGACCCAACCCAAUUAAAUCGGGUUUUCGAAUUCUCAACCCAAACCAUAAAAAUUAAAUUCAUAACCCAAACCAAUUUGUAUUAUUUCGGUUCGGAUUGGUUCGGAUCGGUUUGAUCGGGUUAUGAUAUAUAAAAUAAUUUCUUUCCAUAAAUUAGCAAAACCAAAUUUCGACACAUCAAAAAAUAAAACUUUAACUGAAUGUACUACAACAAGCAAGUGAAAUAUCUAGUAUAUACAAAAUGAGUUAAGUACUAUAACAUCUUAAAAAACAUGCACUACUGACCAAAACAAUUAAGACUCGAUACCAAGUUAAGCUAGAUACCAGAAGCUUCAGAAUUACAGCAAUAAAUUUAAAAAUUAAGUUGAACAGAAACAAUUAGUAAAGCACAACAAAACAAUAAUUAGCAAAGCACAACAAAUCAACAAUUAGUUAAAUCGACUAGGCUAACAUAUUAUGAGUUAGUGGGGUGGGGUGAAUAAUUUUUACGUGUAAUUUAAUAUUUUUUAAUCGGGUUGGGUUGGAUCGGUUAAAAAAAACCAAAACCCGUGUCCAACCCAAUUAAAUCAGGUUACUCAUUUUUUAAUCCAAUUAUCAAUCGGGUCAAAAAAAUUCGGAUUGGUUCGGAUGAAAUAUGGUUGGUUUGGGUUGGUUCGGUCGGUUUCGCCGAGCCGUCUACACCCCUAAGUCCAAUGCAGGUGGUAAAUAGCAUCCAUAAAAAUAGCAAGCACGCUGUUUAAUUUGAUUUCAAAUAAUCUAUACUAUACUGUAAUAAGCCAACAUUUGAUAUAAUUUGUAAUCCAAAGUUUUAGUUAUAUUUUUCGGUUUGGUACUCUCAUUUUGGUACUACAAGUCUAAAUGUGGAGUCUAUUACUCCCUCUGUCCCUCUCAUUUUUUUACAGUUACCGUUUUGGGACGUCCCUCUCAUUUCUUUACAUUACUAUAAAUAGUAAGUUUUUUCCAUCAUUACACCCACUAUCUUCCCCCACUAUCUCAUAUUUAACAAUAAAAACUACUAUUACACCCACUACUUUCCUCCACUAUCUCAAAUCUAUUAUUAAAUAUUGAUGGGUCCCACCACUUUACCCACUUUUCAUCUAACUUUACUCAUUUUCCAUACAUUGUCUUGGUCUCCGUGUCCCCCUCCAAUGUAAACAAUUGAGGGGGACGGAGGGAGUAGUAUUAUUUGUUAAACAGUUUCAAAUACUAAAAAUACUCAUAACAAUCCAUUAUCAUAUAAUAUUUCAUUAAAAAAAUUAUAAUGAUGUUGUAAAUAAAAUUAUAAACAUACAAUUUUGAAUAUCUUUCUUUUAACAUUAACCUUCAUAUAACUAUUUUUAACUUUAAGGUGUUCUAUUUUAAUAUAAACACGAACCAUUACAUAACCUUUCUAACUUUAAUCUUAAAAGUUAUUGUUGUCAAAAAAACCAAGAUUACAAAAUUACGUUGAAAUUCGAUUGACUAGAUUACUGAAUCUUUUCAAAGAUAUUAUACGAUCGGCUAUGUUUGGAGAUAUGAAUUUUCUGAUUUUUUAAUUUUUAAAUCUACAUGUACUAAAUUCGGAUUAAAUGUACUAAAAUCCAGACACAAACACACACAUAUAUAUUAGGGUUUAUCCAUUUUCAAGUAAUCGGGAGAAAAUAUAGUCAGUUGAAUAAUAUAAUUUAAUUAAAAUUCAAUCAAUUAAUACUAAAAUAUUAAUAAAAUGAUGUUAAAGUUUAAAUUAUAAAUAAUAAAUUACGAACUAUAUACCCGCCCGUGCUUCGCACGGGUUAAAAGGCUAGUAAUAUAUAAUAUUUAAAAUAAAGGUGUGAAAUAGUUAAUUUUUCUUCCCAACUCAGUCCACCUGUGACUCCUAUACAAAAGUUGUCCACUUCAGAGUGCUUGGGCACAAUUUAUAUCAUUUUAUCUUUAAAAACUUUACCAUGCAUUGUUACCUCAUAGAGUUCCAGCUUUCUAUAAGAUUAUUUAUAUACUACAGCGUAAAGUGUCAUCAAUGGACAAGUAUGAUUCAAUCGUCGGCAAUUAUGUGACACCUAUCAUAUAUUAGUGUCAGGAUGAAAAUGUAUAAUGAAAUGUUUAAAAACCCACUGCCCACACACCAAUACACCAAUAUAAGUAUGGAUAAUGGUCAUACACCCAAGGGGCAUAUACUUCAUGACUUCACCAAAUCUUCAUAUUCCCAUGUUUAAUGUCAGUUACAAGCAAAAGUUGGCAUGAACCGCCAAUCCUUGCCAUUUGCCAAAACCAGUAACCAAAAAGCAACAUGUAUAAUAUAAUACAACAUAAUAACCAAAUUAUAAUACGACUACUAAGAUGAAACUGCAGUCGACAUAUAUACCAUCUUAAAAAAUAUCACAAUCUCACUUAAAAAAUUUAAAGGAAGAAGAAACAUUAGUAUGCUCCAAACCAUUAACUUGACAGACACUACUCACAAGUCACAUGUAACAGGAAAUCACAAAAUUUAAGCUAAAAAUGAGUGCAAAGUACCAAGAAGAGACAAUAGGAAACACCACAUGGAAGCAUUCAAUUAAGUGAGAGGUUGAACCUCCGGCUCCUUGUCAUAAACAGAAACAAUCCCACUGACCUAGUGAAACAACAUUGCAACUGACCAAAAGAAAAAAUAAGUGAAACAACAUUGCUUGGACAAGAGGUCUAAUUUUGUGUGCCUCUGAGAAACUAUUUGAAAUUUGUGGGGCAGUAGAAGCUAGUUUAAACUUUAAAGUUCCAACAUCCAUAACUAAUAAGCAUACUUCAAAUUCAACAUUAUCAUACAAUAUCGAAGAAAAACAUCACCACUUGCCAUAACAAAAUUUUUUUGGGAACCGCCUGCAAGUAGAUAAGGAUUAUAGUAAAGGUUUAAAUACAGAAAAGGUAUGAUGAAGACAUAUCUUGAAAUUUGUUAAGAACGUAUCAAUGAAGUUAUACAGCAAUACUAAUAAAUGAAAGAAACUUAUGGAACAGCACACAAGACAAACGACAAGUAAGAUGCAGCCAUCUUACAAAAUGCCAAAGCAGAUAUAAUGACAUUCCUAGGCUAAUAACAAUGACAACAAUUAACGUAUCUGAGGAAAGUAUAUCAUGCACAAGCUAAAGAGAAAAAAUGUGGGGAAAAAAGAGAGACAUGGAUAUUAACAAAAUCUAAUAUCCCCAGAUGGAAUUCAGCUGAGGAACCACUACCCCCAGAGUUCCAACAGCUCCAAAUGUGAAAGAAAGAGAAUCUGAUGGAUCACGAUCCAUAAGAAGAUAAAAAAAUCUCAAAAAAAUAAUCUGAUAGAAAUCCGAAUAAUAACAAACUACAAUUUCUUAUUUAGGAGUAUGAAAAAACCCAAAAAAAUCCUAACAAUAACAUACUACUACUAUUCUAUAUCUUCUUGAUACCAACUAACCUUACUAACAAACAAAAAUACCUCCAAUCAUUUCAAGUACAAUAACUACUACCAAAACCAAGAAUACUCCUAAUAAUCUAUUUAAUGGACUAUAAUAUAUUACAACUUUAUCCUUAAAUAAUAAAUUGAAGUGCAUACAAAUCAAUUUUUUAGUUCCUUGCUCCACAUCAAAUAAAUCCUUAAACAUAAGAUUUAGUACAACUUGAGGACUCUGUAUGCAAUGUCUCUACUAUACCGAUGCCAUAAGGGGUGUUAUAAAGGGUGUACUGCUCAUAAAAAACUGGAAAAUAAACACGAAAUAAAGAUACACAACUUUAUGACAGCUGUAACUCGAAUACUGGCCAGUGCCCACUUGAAAUUAGAAGCAUUCUUCUUCCAUACUCAAAAAUAUAUAAUCAAUUAUUAAAAGAGAACCUCCUUUAUAAACAUAAUUGUAUAUCAAAAACCAAGUAAUUUUCACAUCACCUUUAACUGGUAAUACACUUUAAAAUAAUAAACACUUCUGGUUAAUUUAUGCAAAUUUCAGUGGGCUUCUUUGUAUGAGUUGCACAGAAUUUUAAUACAGCUAUAUCUUUGAGUAUUUUUCCAGAUCAAUAAUGACAAGUCCAUACACUUACCAUACACCCCUAAUUUGCAGCAUAUCCCCUACCACAUUAUUAAUAGACAUCACCAUAGCAUCUCAGCACGCGAUGAAACUACGAAACAGGCUAAUUAAUAGCAAAAGAACAAUACAUAAAAAUACUGGUAAAGUUAUCGAAAAAGCAUCCAAAUUAACGGCCAGAAUGCAGUAAGCAAGCUUAGGCCAAGUUUUGACUAGUCAGCUCAUUAUUGAAAGGAAGUAAAGUAAAGCACAGGCUAAAACAACAAAAUCAUAUAAACAUAACAUUCAUGAAUAUUAUCUCCAAAACCCUAAUUGACUCCAUCAAAAUUAGGGCUACAACGGCCAAAUUUCAAGCCAUACCCACAAUCUCAGUCCGAUUCAUCGGAAAGGGGAGCCAUCUGCUGAGCCUCGAGACGCUCUAGGGCUUUCUGGUGGGCCCAAGUUUCGAUAGUGAGAUCGGGCUUGGCGUUGAGCCCAACGCCGAGGAUGACGAUGGUGAGGAAGCUGGUGACGUAGCAAGGUAACUCCCAGUCUUCCCACUUUCUGGAUUGACCUGGAGGUAAGGGAGUCCGGUUCAGGAAAUAACCGUUGGGGUGUUCUUGGUGACCCGGGCUUGUCCAUCGGCUUGGACCGGCGCCGCCGCCUCUAAGACGGAGGCUUGUGCUUAGCCGGCUGCGGAGAGUGCCGGCGGCGGUGGCGAAGGGUUUCGCGGACGCCAUCUGUUUAGAGAGAGAGAGGGGGGAGGGGAGGGGAGUGAGAGAUUGUAUUUGUACGUGUUGCCCUUUUUUGGAUCUCAGUUUUUGCAAGGGCUUCUUGGUAUUCUCCAAUAUACGACGUCGUCACAUGAAAAAAGAGGGAUAACGUACAAUUCUAUAUUCCAUAAACUUGUAAAAUUUUUGUGAUUUAGAUUAAUAAGGUCCUUUUAUAAAAUGAUCAUAGAAAAUAAUUUACAAAAAAGGUUACCGGAUGAAGUUAUUGAGUUCGUAAACUUUAAUCGUUUUUCUGUAAUUAAUAUACUAACAUACUGAUCUCAGAUCUUAUUUGAAAAAAAUAAAAUAGCUCUCAAGUGAAAUACCCGUUUGAUCAAUUAAUUUAUUCUAAUCAAAUUAAAAAACAUAUAACUUUCAUGAAUUCAAAUAACCCAUUAAAAAUCAAUUUCAUUAAGAACAAGUUCAAUUCAAAAUGCGACAUACCCUCCCUUAUUGAUACUCUAUAAUUUAACAAUAAAAGAUAUAUUUUAUUUGUUAAAGAUCAAAAAAAGAAAAAGAAUACUUUUGGCCAAAUAUCAAAAAAAACAAGGGUUUUUAAUUCUAAAAACUAGCAAUAUUAGCCCGGUUGUGGUUUCUGUGCUCAUUUACUAAUCAGAGUAUUAUAAUACUCUCUGCCACAUUUUGCACAUCGAAGGGCAUUUGGUCUAGUGGUAUGAUUCUCGCUUUGGGUGCGAGAGGUCCCGAGUUCGAUUCUCGGAAUGCCCCCUUUUUCCCAAGACUAGUUGAAUAUUGCUUUUCAGCCCUGCAAAUGUUCUAUUUCACAGGACUCACUGUAACUACCGCAUCCAAGCUAAAACCAUCCAUCAAAGAUUGCGAAAUGUAACAAGAAAAAUUUUUUUUUACAAAAGACAUGACAGUUUAUAGUCACCAAUAGUUUCCACAUGAACAGACACCAUCAACAAUAUGAUGAUAUCGGCUUUUAUCCCUUAAAUAUAUUUCUCUUUCAUAAAUUUUAGAUACAAAUUUGGCAAAAUUAUGGCAAUCAACGCAGAUGCGGAGAUUUUUCAUUACUCGAAUAGGCCUUUUUUGAGGGGUACACAUUAGUGCAAAAGCCAAAGCCAGCUUUUCACUAUGCCCCAGCAGCAUUUUCCCUUUCUGCUCCUCAUCUACAUCAUAUAAUACACAAGACAGAUUUGGGACAUAACCAGCUUCCCUAACCUUGACUGACAUCUCUCUUACCUUUUCUGCUACCUCUUCCUUCUGUGGAUGUGAUCGAUCAUCUGCAUGGAAAGUGUGAAUGGUUUUAUCCAAUUCAAUCCAGCUCUUUCCUGGCUCCUUUGUUAUGGCCUUCUCCAUCAUCAUAUCCCUUACCACUCUUACUUCAUUCCACCUUCCUGCGGAUGCGAGCAGAUUUGAAAGAACUACAUAAUUACCAGCAUUUUCAGGUUCUAUUAUUAAUAGUUGACUACCAACAUACUGUCCAAUGUCAACAUUCUGGUGAACACUACAAGCACCUAAGAGUGAACCCCAAAUUGCACCAGUUGGUUCAAAUGGCAUAUCCUUUACAAAUUUAAAUGCCUUUUCUAUUUGUCCAGCGCGUCCAAGCAAAUCAACAACAGUCCCAUAAUGUCCAAUAUCUGGCUCAACGCCAGUUUUUCCACGCACCAUCUCAUCAAAAAAUUCUAGUCCUCUAUUUUCCAUCCCUCCAUGGCUACAAGCAGAUAACAAAGCCAAAAACGUAACUUUAUCAGGCAAAACUUUAUUUUCUUCUCUCAUUAAUUCAAAAACCUUAACAGCAUCCUGUCCUCUUCCAUGUUUGCUAUAUCCUACAAGCAUCGUAUUCCAUGUUAUGACAGUUCUUUCAGACAUGUUAUCGAAUAUCCUUCUUGAGUAUGUGAGGUUUCCACAUUUUGAAUACAUAUCAAUCAAAGAAUUCUGAAGAACCGCGUAGGAUGGCAGUUGAAACCUAAGUACAUGGCUGUGAACUUGCCUUCCAUGUUCAUAUGCAGCAAGACCAGAUAUUGCAGUCAAAACACUGGCAUACGUUACAUAAUUGGAGAUCAUUCCCUCUUCCUGCAACUGACAGAAUAACUUUAAAGCCUCUUCGUCAAAACCCAACUGAGCAUAGCCUGAAAUGAUAGCAGUGCAAGAAACAACAUCCCUCUCUGGCAAGCCAUCAAACACCACUCGUGCUUCAUGGAUCCAACCCGUUUUGGCAUACAGGUCAAGAAGUGAGCUUCCAACAUACACAUGGGCGUCAAAACUCAACUUUAUUAUAUGGCUAUGGAUUUGCCUCCCGUGGAGGAGCCCGGAGACUCCUGAGCAAGAUGUAAGAACAGUCGCAAAUGUAAACUCAUUAGGUUCAAUACCUGGAAAAAAAAACUUCAUCUUACAAUCCACACUUAAAUGCUAAAAAGAAGAUAACCACCUGAGUGUAAGCCAUUUAAUUGUAUGUAGUCUUGAGAUGUAACUCUAGAAACAAAAUAUCAAUUUGAGUAUCUAGCUUCUGAGGCAUAGAAUUAGUGCUAACUGAUAAGUUAGAUUACGACACAAAGCUUAAAGAUGGAUGCUUCAUGUAUAUGUUACACUUGCCAACAGCUGAAGAUGUGAUCUUUUAUCUUUUAAUUUUCUUUCCAAGUAGUGAUUGGACAGAAACGCUCAACUGUGGCACUUUCCCCCCUAGCCUGGCAGUGCUUGGGGUUGGGGGGCGUCAUUUGCUUCGUUGGUUCCAAUGGUGGCAGCCGAGGAAUCUGAACAAAAUUAGACUCUUCUGUCUGUGUUGUGAAAACAUUGAAAGAUUUAAUGAUUAAAAGUUUACUUUCUCAAAACCUACCAGAACACAUUUCAUCUAAGUAGUUAGAAGUUUUAUCCUCCGGAAUUUGUGUUUUACGAGUGGCACUUCCUUUAUAUAAAAGCAGAACAUGGUAAGGGAUCAAUGGUCCACAAAUAUUGAUCUGUCAACAAAGUAAAAUUGCAUUCAAGUAAAUUAAGCUAAUUGGUCAAAUAUGUUAAGUGAUCAGUUCUCCUAAAACCUUAAUGUUGUGUAUGGUAGGGGAGAAUGGAAUGGAAUGCAAUGAUUGGAAGUAAAUGAAAAUAAUAGAGGUAGGAGGGAAGUUCUGAAAAAAUUGAGUUAUCGCAAAAUUGUUUUAAUGAGGUUUAAAAAGAAAUUAAGUAUGGGAAGGAAUGGAGCAUUCCUUCUUAAAUUGGGGUUGUAGUCUCUGGUGUAGGGUGUAAAGAAUGGAAUGGAGUAAGAAUGAAAUUUAUAAACAAUUAUCCAUAACAUAGUUCCAAUUUCAUUCUAUUUCUUCCGAAUUCAUUUACUCCAACAAAACAAGCUACUUCUGGGGGUGUUACAACAUAGUAAGGGAUUUUAAAAAAAGCCUACUCUUCUGUAGCGUGUGAGCAGGUAUGAAGCCAAUAGAGGGGGCCAAAAACUUUUCCCUUAACACUUUUAGAUAUUCAAUAUAGUAAAUACACAAAAUUACUAGUAUAAAAUUUAUAAUAAAGCCAUGGCAAGUCGGCAAGAUGGAAGAAAUUCUGCAAGCUAAUGAUACUGAAAAAAAAUAAUAGCAACAUCAAGCAAUAAUUUGCUUAAUAAAUAGACUACUUACUAAAAAUCUACCUGACUUUAACAUCUCUACAAAAAGAACAAGAGCUUCCGAGGCAUACCCUCUCCGCGAAUAACCCGAUAUCAUAGCCGUCCAAGAAACAACAUUCCUCUCAGGAAUUUCAUCAAACACCAUCCUGGCAUCUUCCAGGCACUCACACUUCGUGUAAAAAACAAUCAACCUGUUUCUGAGAUACACAGGUGGAAGAUACUGGGUUUUGAUCAUGUGGGCCUGGACUCUCUGGCCUUCUAUGAGACCCUUUUGGCUUACACACUCGUUUAACAGCAAAUCAUAGCCUUCAAACUUCAUUUCAGUACCCUGGAAGGCCAUUUCUAACAAGGCCUGUUUUAGGUUACUGUUAGAAAUUGCAAAUUUUGAGUUUGUUGAAUUUGGCGGGAGGGAAUAAGAGGUUAGUUUGCGGAUCAUUGUGUUCGAAGUGGAAGAGAAUAUAUGAAGAGAAUGAUUCAGGAGUGAAGUACAUUUUUGUAUGUUUUUCAGGUUCAUGUGUUUGUAUAACCUGGAAUUGGCAACGGGCAAGGUAUCCAACCCUGAGCCUAGCUGAGUCUCCAAAUUAUCACGAAUUAACCUGAAUUAUGACUUAAACCGACAUACAUGAUAAAUUAUGAGUUUAAAAUAUUUGUUUGGUUAAUUUUAAUUUAUUAAAUAAUUUAUGAAUUAUUAAAAAUAAUGUGAUUUAUGGACAACAUAUAUCUUAUAAGUAGUUUUUCUAAAAAAUGGUUUAAAAAAAUUAAAUUACUGAAAAAAUACCUCAAACUAACUUCGAACUUUAAGUCAGUUUCCGGCUUAUUUUCAACUUUAAAACAACUUCCGACUUAUUACACAGAAUGACAUUUGUCAGUUUAAAGUUAAAAAGUCGGGACAAAUAGACUCUUGAAUGGUUACCCUUCACGAUGAGCUUUCGGUUAACUUAAAAAAACGAAAAAACUUUCGCUAAAAUUGUUUUUCAAUAAACUUUUAUUUGAAUAAUUUAACAGACAGGAAAAAAAAAUCAAUAUAAAGUACUCUGCCAAUUAAGCAAAAUAUAAUAUCUAAGUUGGAUAAUUCUCGUUCUCUCCUCAAAAUUCUAAAAAAAUCUAUCAAACUUCUUUUUUCUUAACUGUCGUGAAAGGCUUGCACUAGUUUUCGCUGAUAAAAAAUCUCAAAUAAUUUAUUUUAUUCUUAUUUUUCACUACAAUUGAGAUGGUAUAUAAAACUAUACCAUAGUUUUAGUAAUAUAAUUUACAAUUUAAAUGUUCCUGAAAAACAUCCCAGAUUUUAUGAAAAAAUGGGAGUAACUAAAAUUAUAUAAAGUGAGAACAAGUUUGUGUUAUGUUUAAUUAAAAAGUAAAAUAAAUAUGUAAGGGUUAUGGUAAUUGAUGAGAAUAAUAGCUGAGACAAAUUAAUUCAAAUUCGAGAAACGCUAUUACAAGAUGUUCCUUUUUAGAAAGGUUAGAAAGGGUAAUAUAGAAAGCAAUUAGGUUACCGUAUUUGAAACAUAUUGUGUUAGUAUUUCUCCAAAACCUUUAAGUCUAUAUUUAUGUCGAUGCGUUUCUAAGUAUAUAAUAUAUAGUUUAUUCUAGACGGUUUUGGUAAAUAUUAUUUUGUCCCGAUAAAUAUAAAUAAAUAUCUAGCAAUAAUGAAAGAAAUGUUAUCAAUGGACCUCACCACCUCAGUCAGUUUAAAUAAAUAUCUAACGGCAAUGAAAGAAAUGUGAGCCGGCAACAUGCAAACCGUGAACAUACAUGUAGACAUGUAGUGUGAAAAUAAAAAGCCAGAUACCCACAGAUCACAAAGCAAAAAAGUUCAAAAAGUUAAUUGAUCGGUGGGUGUUGUUAUCUCUUUAACAUGUUAUGUUCAUAUUUUUGCAAGGCACACGAUCUUAAUGAUUCUAAGAAGACAAAGGAGUUUGGUUAAAUAACGGUCUUUGAGAUUAAAAACAAUGUUGCUUGUGUAAUAAUGAUACUCCCUCGAUCUCAAGUUAUAGGUCUAUUUUGAAAUAAACAUGUAUAUUAAGAAAAUGAUUGGUUAUUUGGUUAGAUAUAAUUUUAUGGCAUGUAUCAUUAAUUGGUAUAUUGAUAAUGGAGAAUAGAGUUGAAUUUCAAAAAAAUCACAAUAAAUAUAAUGAUUUAGUGCAUUGAGAAAUGAGAAUAAUAUUGAAUUUCAAAAAAGUCAUAAUUAAUAUAGAGAUAAAGUUGUAUUGAAAGAAGAGAUGGACAAGUAUAUUCAGACAAAUUUUAAUAUCAAAAAAGACCUAUAAAAUGAGACGGAGGGAGUAUUACUGUACUACUAGUACCAUACAAAGUCAUAAAAGUCAUAAAUUUAUGUUUUAAAUCAAAUUCAAUUUCUGGUCAAAAAAAAAAAAUUCAAAUUCAAUUUGAUCAUGUUAUAUUUAGUAGACAUAAAUUAUUAAAAAAGAAAGAUGUUUUUGCAGGCUAAAAAGGUAUACUUCUUUGCAAAGCCAACGCUCAAUUCUAAAACUUUAAAUCAAUAGAUAUAAGUUUAUUUAAGCUCCAUCAUCUCAGAAUAAAGAGCUUCUCCCCUGGGAAACUUUAUAUAGAGUAUAAUUUAACUCUUGUUUGAUCAAAAGAAUGAAUUGACGGCCUCUCGAGACCGUCACUGUUUGAAUAAACCGGAGUGGAAAUUAAUUAAAGAGAUGUUAUUUACAGUUGAAGGCUUGAAAUCCAAAGGAGUGUUCCACCUCCCCAAGUGUUCUUCUCCCCAUCCCAUAUUCACAUUUACAGCUUCAAAUCCGUCGAUAUGUUCCAUUAGAAAACCGGCAGAACUAUGAUUAACUAGUCCUUGACAUCCUGGCCUGUAGUCUACUAAACCAUCCAUAUAAUUUGUCCAUCUCCUGUAAGUGAGAUUCACAUUCUCAAAUUUCAAGUUGCGCAGAGUUCCACCUUUACAUCCAGAUAAGAAGACACCGUUUUCUGAAGUUGCAGUGAUGUUAACAAAUAGUAGAUUGGAUAUUGAACCCGAUUUCGAAUCUUCAUUUCUGGGGCAGGUUGUCACAUAUAUAGGUUCUGCUCUUCCCCACCAUGACGGGUCAUAGUAUCUUGUGGUGAUAUUUAUAUUUGAGAAAGUUAUAUCACUUACAUUUCCUGUACAAGAACAAAAAAUCACAACAAAAUCUUCAAUUAGUAGUUCAACAAAAAGUACACGAGAUGUGCAGGUGCAUUGAGGAGCGGGUGUGGGUUUAAAACUAAAAACAAUACUGAUGAACGGAGAGAUGAAAAUGGAAAGAUUUAAAGCAUUUACACAAUCAGCAGCAAAAUUCAACAUCAAGUCCUCAAAUUUUGCUGCUGAAAAUGCCAUGCAUUCUUCAAAUUCUCUGUUUUCAUUUCCCCGUCUAAUAUAUUCUAUCUGUAUGCACCACACAUAGGCAACAGAUGCAAAUCAUACUAGUUUCUCCCACGUCUAAUACGAAGGACACAAAGAUUCACUUUGUAACUUUCGCAUAUCCUUCCAACUGACUCAAGUACCAAAAAGCAAUGUUCUAAAAAUCGCUAAACAUCCUAGGGCGGUCGGGGUACCUUUAAACAAUUAAUCGAUAGAUCAAAGAUUAAUUGGAAUGAUUUCAAAUUUAGAUUAUUAAAAUUAGAUAUAAAUAAAUAGUCAUGACAAUUUUGUGCUACUAGCUGUGAAUUUCACUUAUAGAUACCAUCAAAUAUUAAAUAUAUAUGUGUUACAUAAAAUAUAAGACUACCCAUGUAAAUAGAUUUAUAGUACCACACAUUGCUUCCACGCGAUAUACAAAGAAAUUAAAUAAGACCGAGUUACCUAGAAGUUAAUAGGUUUUUUUGUAACUAUUUAUUUUUUUAACAUUUAAGUUGUAAAAUAUGAUUGCCUGCGGGAUGUUGAUCAUUUUUUCAAGGAAACNNNNNNNNNNNNNNNNNNNNNNNNNNNNNNCCUAAAUUGCCACCUAGGACUGACUUGGGGCAUUUUAUGACCGCCUGGGCUAUUUUUAAAACACCACUAAAAAGGAGUCCCAAAUCAGUGUAAAAGCAACAAGAAUUCUAAACAUAUCAAUAAUAACAUAAUGAACCAGCUACUAUGAUGACCAAGUAAAAGUAACUUGAGCAUUUCCAGAAAAAGUUUAGCAAUUUGGUUUUUCUUGCAAUUUUGGCUCCUCGGGUAGUGGUAAUAUUAUCACGUUCAUAUAAUUUCUAAUAUAUAGAGUGCACCUGGGGUAGUGGUAUCAUAUGGGACUAAGUUUGAUUCUUUGGAUGUACUUUAAUAUCUAGUAAUAUUUUUGACUUGAAUCAUCAUAUAUAAAGACAACAUUACAUCUGGUGAUGAAUGUCCUAGCAUAACUUUUCUUACAUGUGUACCCUGGUAUCCUAAAAUGAGAGAAUAUCCUCGACUGAAACGAACUUGAAUAAGAUUUGGUAAGCUGAUAUCACGUCUCAAAACAGGAAUAUACUAUCAUUUUGGCACAGCGGUAUUACAACACAUAUGAUAUGGGCACCAACCUAAGUAAAUGGUCACCAGAAUUUCUACAAUAAAUAAGAUAUUAUACUUACCUCCAUCUCGAAUCUGUAGACCAAGUCCUCUGUGAGAUUCUACUAUGGUGAUAUUAUCAAAAACCAGACCCUUGAAGUCAAACCAGCUAGCACUUCCAAGUUUGAUAGCUGAAGAUUUUGUUCGAAUCCAACAAUCAGUCGCGGUAAGGUUAUAGAGAGGACCAUCAUAUGUUUUUGGGCAAAUAGCAUCAUCUCCAGUGUUAAUGUUGCAUCUAGUAAUGAAUGUAUUAUUGGAAUCAUCUAUAUCUAUUCCAUCAUUGUUUGGUGUAUUGAAAUCUCCAUAUAUUGAGACAUCAUGUAUCAAUGAAUUUUCACACUGUACCAGGUGCAAGCUGCAUAUAGUUAAAACGUCUUUUUUAGAUAGAAAUAUACAUAAGAAAACUAAAAAGUAUGGAAACUAUCAAGUAGGAGACCCAUCAGCAACUAAAUUUAUCCAUAAACUCUUAAAGGCAUAUCAGACGAAGGGGUCGUUUGAUUGACGGGGAUCUGGAAUCAGGUAUGAGUUUUGUUCAUUCCAAACCCAUACCUGCUGUUUGGUUGUAAAAAUUAAACUUUCAAACCCAUACCUCAAACCCCCAAGGUAUGGGUUUUUGAUACCCAAGAGAGGAGGUGGGUAUGGAUAUCAAUUUCAUUUUCGAUAUUUUGGCUCUAUUUCAAUAAUUAAAUAUUAAUUUGUAAUACGACAAUUAUCAAUGAUGCAAAAAUAUAAUAUUAUAAUAUUUUUUUUAAUUUUUUAAUUAAUAGUAAUAUAAUUUUUUUUAAAAUUGAAUAUAUUAAUUUUAGAACACAACCAAACACAUGAUAUCAAAUAUGAUACCUUAAACCCAUAUCAUCUUAACCUGAUUCCUCAUUCCAACUCCAUACCACCCGGCGAACCAAACGACCCCUAAAAGUGGAGGUAAAACACAUAGUAUAUGAUCCCACAGAUUUCACUCUACUUGCACUGUCAUUUCUCGGUCCUUAUUCGUAGUUCUAACAAGGGUUCACUGGGGCGCCUUAGAAAUGAUGCAUAAUUAGCUAAUAUAAUAACAACAAAUUCCAUAAUUUAUGCCGUAAAAUUUCAUAACACAUAAUGGCUAAGAGCAUCUCCAAUAGUGUUGGCUAAAAAUGAUUGGCUAAAUUGACUUAUAUCAUAUUAUGAAAAAUUUAUCGAAUCUGUAAGAUAUUUUGUUUCGAUGAUCGUAGUUACAUGAAUUGACUAUAUUAUUUUAACAUGAUAAAAGAUAAUGUGAAAUCUUGCGACACUUCUAAACUCUUUCAUCUCGCAUCUCAUUCAAAUCACUUUUUACACUAAUGUCAAAUAUUAAGAAGAAAAAAAAAAAACUUUUCCGAAUCUGCGGGGCACAGAAACAACAGCUAUAAGCGAUUAAUUUAGAAAGAGAGGGAGUAAAAAAGAAAAAGACUCACCACCAGUACGCAGGCUGAAUCAAGUUCACAUUCCAAACCCGAACAUUUUUACUGCGUAAAAAUCCCACGAGCCUGGGCCUACACUCAUCACCCAAACAGGCCCCACUUGUAUUCCAGCUCACCAUAACAUUUUUCCUCUCAUCAAAUCUCUUAACAAACUUCAACCCCUGUCCAUUAAUCUCCCCGCCGCCGGUGAUCCCCACAUUCUCCGCAUCCUCCGCCACCACCACGUACCACCGGCUAUUCUCCGCCGGAUAAUCCCUCUGCUUCGUUCCUCCCAGGAUCGUCGCAUUCUCUUGCACUUCCAAUACCACGCCGGAUUUCAGGAAUAUUGUAGCCGUUAGGUACCUUCCCGGCGGGAAGAUGACGUGGCCGCCGCCGAGAGCGUGGCAGUCGUUGACGGCGGCUUGGAUGUACGGAGUGUCGUAGUGAACGCCGUCGCCGACGGCGCCGUAGUCAGUGACGGAAAGCGUUAAAAUUGACUGGGGUAGUUGAAUUAUUUCUGAGCUGGAAGAUUGAGUUGUGAAACAUAUGGAUAAUAAUAUAACUAAAUUUGAAAAUGCGGAAAAAUAAAAUUUCAUUUUUGCGAUGAGAGGAAGAUUAUUACGAGUAGAUCGAUUUACAAUGUUUGCAAUUGUUAGGCCAACAGCAUCGUGCACCUUAUAAUAUUUUUUUAUUUUUCGAAACGGGAUCAACUUGAUCUCGCAUUAUUAUAUUCUGCAAUAAUGUGAUCAAAUAUAUAGUGCAAACCUUAUCUUGGAUUUGUUGGCAUACAUGUGAUUGUUGAAUUGCUUCAAAGGAAGAACAUCAACUUGAGUGAAGCUUUACAGCUUGUGCUAUUUUUGAAUUCGUUGUGCAGGGGCUCGUUUAACUGCUAGUAUGGAUGUGGAUAAAAUCGUGUACAUCUCAAAAUGAUUCGGCACCACCAUAACUAUAAUAUGAAUUGCGAUGGAAUUGAUGGUGUAAGAGCUUUUCCAAACAUUGAAAGCUCUUGGCUAAAAGAUGAGUUGCAUACUAAAAAUAAAAAAUUUUAGCAAACAGCUCGAAAAAUUGAUACUCACCACACCUAGCUAUUGUCUAUAAUUUUAGUCAACCUCCUAUGGAUAGUCAAAUUUUUCGAACCUCUACAAGUCUGUAAAAAAUCUAAGAAAUCUGUAGGAUGAUUGCACAUCAUUUGUUACCAUAUUGAACUGAUAUAUUCUAUUUUAACAAUCUAAAAUAUUAAUAACAUUCUAUUUUUAAAUUAUAGCCAACCAAUAUAGCCAAUACCAUUGAAGGAAAAUGUCUUACAGAUUCAGCAAAUUUUACAUAAUGUCUUACAGGUCUCAUUUAGCCAACGAUUAUAGCCAACGCGUCGCCAUUGGAGAUGCUCUAACAAAUUAAAAAAAGGGCGGAUAAAAAACUUUGUCCAUUAAGAAAAAGAAAAAUGCUAGGUAUUGGAAAAAUUAUUUCUACAAUUUUAUUGUGAAAUUUCAUUAAUAGUAAUGGGAUCCUUUUAUGCGUAUAUAAAUUGUCCUAUAAAAAUCAAUAACUUGUCUGUCAUAUGAGAAAAUUUGGGUUUUUUCAUUUUCAUGUUAAUUUAUCUUCAGCUUCCUAAAACUCUCCACGACGCACUAAGAGCAUCUCCGACCAUCAAAAACUCUUGGCUAAAAGGUGAGUUUGCAUACUUAAAAUAGAAAAAUUUAGCCAACAGCUCGAAAAACUCAACUCCAACCAUGCACAGCUGUUGUCUAUUAAUUUAGCCAACCUCCUAUGGAUGGCUAAAUUUGUCGAACCUCUACAGGUCUGUAAGAAAUCUGUAAGAAGAUUGCACAUCAUUUAUUACCCAUAUUGAACUGAUAUAUUCUAUUUUAACAAUCUAAAAUAUUAAUAACAUACUAUUUUUAAAUUAUAGUCGAUCAAUAUAGCCAAUACCAUUAAAGCAAAAAUUCUUACAGGUUAGCAAAUUUUACAUAAUGUCUUACAUGUCUCAUUUAGCCAACGAUUAUAGCCAACAACGUUGGAGAUGCUCUAAGAGAACCCUAAAAAGUACUCCCUCCGUCCCAAUAGAUAGUAUACAUUUGGUGUGGACACGGAGACCAAGAAAACGUGUAAAAAAUGAGUAAAGUUAGAUAAAAAAGUAAGUAAAGUGGCGGGACCCAUUUAUAUUUAAUUAUAGAUGUGUGAUAGUGGGGGAAAGUAGUGGGUGUAAUAGUGUUUAUAUCAUUAUAAAAUGAAGAUAGUGGAAGAAAAUAGUUGGUGUAAUAGUGUUUUACAUUAUUAAAAGUUGCUAUUUUAGGAAUGUAUAGAAAUGAUGGGACAUCCCAAAGAGGAAACUGUUUGAGAUGACCGGGACGGAGGGAGUAACAAGCAAGAAUUGUGAAGCAUUAUAUAAAAUCCGUCCGAAGUUGGAAACAAAAUAAACUCUAUCCGCCAAAGGGAAAAAUAGGGGGAUACGAAAUGAGGAGCUUGUCUUUCUAUUAGUUACGUUUUCUCCAUUUCCUUAUGGAAACAUUACUUUAUUCUUUAAACUAUAACAAUCAGGUGCGACUUAUCCACGUGCUUAAAUAGCGGGUUCGGCCUUCGUUUCAUAAAUUGUUAAUACAAACACGGAAUCUAUCAUUUCUAUACUUAAUAUGAGAUUGUAAGGUCAGUUCAUUAUGACAUUUAUAAUUAUAAAUUAAUAUAUCUCUAAAUAAAAUUCUCUGUUACAACAUUUUCUGAAUUUUAAGCAUUAAUUAAUACAGAACAUUUGUUAGAACAGUGUUUAUCAUCAGACCAUGACACGUUAUCUAUUUGAAAAGGAAAACACAGCUCCGUUGGCUCCUAUUAAUAUGGCUGCCCUACAAGUCUGAUACUAUGACAACUAUAUAGUCUGAAUUAUUGUACUCUGGAUUUAGGCGUCCUUGUGUCACAAGUACUAGUACUAAAACAUGGGCGAAGGACAGUCUUAUUCCUAAUCAUAACGCCACGGUGUACUGAAAACACCAGUUAACCACUGGCCGACCAAGCCAUCACUCUUUAAGAAAUGAGAGACUUGUGGUAAAGAGCAGGAAGAUUAAAUAAUGUAAUAAACGGUCACCACUCACCACAAACAUAUUCCAUAACAUAUAUAGCUUCUCCGCUUGGCUGUUCUUUUCCUUCUUUAAGAGAUCAAUCACUUCACGCUUAAAUGGCGAAACAAAUGAAUCUCCAAGUUAGUAUUAAAGAUACAAUAUACUAGAAAUCUCCCAGCAGCUAAGGAAUUCUGACUGUUGCAACAAAAGCUAAUUUAACGCAGAGGCGUCCCCUCUGUUUAUCCACUAUCUACUAAUACUAUAUCCAAUAUAUACAAUCUAGCUAUCCUUAAUGCCUGUGACUUCCCUCAAUCUUCACAUCUCCAUCUUCAGCUGGUUUGAUUGCAAAGAAGCUGUGGCACAAAACAACCUUAAAUAUAUUACAAUUUCAAUAUCAUCACAAGCACUUAUUACUCUUGUCAACCCAAAAACAGCCGUUUUGUUAUAUUGUUAAUCAAACUGGGUGGACAGACUAAUUCAUUUCUUACUCCAUGCAUCACUAUGUCUACUAGACUACAAAAUAAAAUUUGUCCUAAAAUUAUUUUGGUUAGAUUAAUGUGUCAGACUUGAAAACAUGUCCUAAUGUCGAACUUGGCGAUAUAUUGAAACCCAAAUGAACAGGGUCCAAUAUUCUCAAUGAAAUAUAGGUAAGGGUAACAUAGCAUGUACCAACAUCAUAGCUGGUUUAUAAGAGUAAAAGCACACUGUUUAAAAAAUAAUUAUAUGCUUGAAACCAGGUAUUAUGAUAUGUGUAAAUUACCUGAAUUUGCCACCGAAUCAUAGCUUAAAAGUGAAUUAUCUGGCGUAACAAAGUUAGUGUUGUCUUCUUCCCUAACCCAGGAAGGCUGAUGGAGCAAGUCAAACGGCCAUAAAUGUUGAUAUUGCUGUCUGUUGAUGCUUCCAUUGACUUGUCCUUCCAUACAGGUCGUUGGCAUACAAACUCCUGGAAAGCUGCUUUCUAUCAUCGAUCCACCCUUAAAGAUUAAAAGAAAUAAUGUAAAAUCUAAUACAAUUAAUGACACAAAAAUUUGUCAGGCAGUAAAUUUGUGUGAAUCUAGUCUUCAAUCUAUAACUUAUUGUUAGGAGCGAUUUUAUAAAUUCAUAAUUAGUCUGUUUGGCUAUAUAAUUUUAUUGAAUUCUUAACAUAUAUAUAAUUUACUUUUCUGGAAAUUUUAACUUCGAUGCAACUUUUUGUGCUUGCAACAACUCCAGACUCAAAAGAUAACUUACCUGUUUUAGCCUUUUAGGGGCUUAGGCAAACAGGGUCCCAGACAUACCUACUUAACUAUAUUAUAAUACUCAUUGCACCAAACCAUGCUAUUUGAUUUUCAUUCUGAUUUAGAAAUGCAAAGAUGUAUUUUAAAACUUGCAAAUUCUGCUGAGACCUCAAGUGACAUGGUUACAUAUAUACAAUAAAAAGAUAUCAUGUGUAAGGUACUUAUUAGGGAACAUCUGUCAGAUGCCCAUUCUACCAUGUCUAGUGACUGCGUUGGGGGACCUAUUGUCCUGGGAGACCUUGCAAUAGUAAUUCCUAAUACAAAUUGAAAGUAACCCGAGCUUGACGUUACCCUUUUGGCAUCUUAACAAGCAGUUGAGGAGGUAAAUAUGCGAAACAGAAGGUCCAAAUCUGACCACUGUCUUGCCUCUAUAUUAAAGGUAAAACACUAUCCUUUGAGAUAUUGUACAGGGACCCAAGAAAGAAGAGCAUUUAAAGAAGUCCAAAUAUUUUAUUGUCCUUCCCACUUGCAAAUUUAUGAUGGAUGUUUUUACGGUAUCCAGCAGGAUAAUGUUCAGAGCUGGCAAGAUGGUCCUAAAACUAUCAACUCGAAUCAUUAAACUUGCACCUGUUGGGUUGGUUAUCCAUUAAUAUGUAGAUGGCUUCAUAAACCAACCUCAAUUAUUUAGAGACAACAACCCAGCUAACUAAGACUCAUAAUAUGGAGUAAUUAAAUAGUUGGCGUAACCGAGUUGGUAAAAGUUUAAUCUUGGGCUGGGAUUGCCUAGAGCCUAAAGGUGCUUGAUCCUCUAACCAUUAUUUUCCGGCUGAUAUUUUUUUCUUCUAAAUUUUAUUUUUUUUCUCAGGAAACAAAAAAUAUAAACGCAAUACUCCAACAUUACAUAUAUUGUAAAUGACAAUGCUAUUAAAGAUUAAUAUAUGAAGUAGUAUCAUUAAAAAAAAACUAAAGUAUAUAUAUUUCUAAUAGAAUAUUUUUGUCCAACUAUUAUAUUUACGUUGAUGCUUCAAAUAUAGACUAGUCAAAAUUCAUAGAACAGUUGAAAACUGCAUAUGAAAAUCAUGACUUUAGAUACAAAUCAUAAGAAAGUAAUAUAUAAAUUCUUAUGUCUUAAAUACAAAAUCCAAGCCGCCUGUGAUCUGCUAGUUAUCAUAGUUAUUAUAAUACUCAGGGAGUCUUAGUUAUGAAAUUGCUAGACUAUUAUUUUUAAUUAGCUGAAAGCCUGAAAUACAACAAUCAACAGAAUGAAUCCCUCUGUUGAUGUCUAAACUAUUAUGUACAUCGUACAAUAGAAUACUAAGAAAGAAUCACCAAAAAGAAAUAAAAAAUGCAAGGGUCCUAGUGUUCAUUGAUAACUUGGUGUCAGGACUUCUUCCAUCCUCUUAUACCAAAGGUCAGUGGUUCAAAUCUUCACUCCCUAUUCCUGAAUACUUAAAAUCUAAUGCAUUGAAUUAUAUGUAACGUACCCAAAAAAAAAGUGAGAAAGAAUGGAGAAGAUUGAUAACAACAAAGUAACAAAUAUGAGAAAAAAUAGUGCCUCAAAGUACUUAUUUCAAUUCUAAAAUCUAAAGAUAAAUUAAGACUAAAACAGAUUAUAUAGAAGUUGAUAAAGUAAGAUAUAAAUAUAACACAUGUUGAAAAGAAAGAGCUGCAAUUGUAGUCAAAUAAAAACAAAAACAGUGAGAUACUUAGAGUCUCAUUUAUUCGUACUUCACUGAUUCAGAAAGGAACCUAACAGACUAAAACCAAGACCAAACAAUUUCGGCCUAAAUAUUUUGACUAUAAUGAAUUGGAAAAUGGUUUGAUUUCUUAGAGAUAAGAAAAACAUUAAGUGAUGCCAAAUUUACCCAAAAACUGUAUAACACAAGCUACAUCUGAGUAAUAAUUCAUCGGUGCCAGUCCUGUUGCUUGAAAUUAAAAACUAAUUGCUAUUACUGCAAAUAAUAAGUAAAAUUUGUUGAGCACACUUACUUCUGUGGCAAAGAGACCAUCUAGAUUGAUAUCAACUCUUGGAUUUACAGCAGCAAGUCUCAUCGAUAAGAACUGAAUCAAAAUAUAAACACAAAAGAGGAGAUGUUUAAACUAAAUGUCAUUGUUCAAUUAAACUAUUGCAGACAGCACCUUACUAUCUUGCUGGGAAACAUUAACAAUCAUCAGCACGUAAAGGGAAGACUAUAACAGAAACCAGUAUAUUGACGAGCUUUAGCUUUACAAUCAAUAUAGGCAUGCAUUAUAACUAGGUUGAAAGUAUCAUUUUCCUGGUUAGUUUAGAUCUUAGGCAAAGAUCAUUAAUUAUCCCCAACUUAACAAUAAAGCAAACUUCUAGUAUAUCAAUUUGACUAACCAAUAUAUUUAGCAGGCAUAUACAUCUAGAAUAAAAAACACUAUGUGCAUAAAACAUAUGCCUAACCUCGACUUGGCGUUGUAGAGAUUGUACAUGAUUGAUGAUCUCGUCCAAUACCAUUGCUGUACCUGAAAUCUGCAACGUAAUCCACAUAAAUUUUCUUGUUCCAGUACAGGAAGAAGCUAUUGGCGCUUGAAGCAGGUAAUAUUCACUACUCCAGAUAACAUGCCACUUCGUGAAAUUCUAAAGUGCUCUGUUCUGAUUACUUAAAACUAGACCUGUCAAUCGUGUCAUGUCAUGUUCUUUAGUGUCGUGUACUUUCGUGUUUCGUGUACCCAUAUCCGACCAGUUUAAGAUUUGUGUACCUAAUCUCAAACCCAUAUCCGUUUCGAACCAAGUCGUGUAGUUUUCGUCUAUGAUUAAUAUAAAUUUAAUAAUAGCAUUUAAUUAAAAAAUAUAUUUUAAAAAUACAUUUUUUCUGUAUUAUUUUAUGAAAUAUAUAUUAAAUAUUUCUAUUUGCAUACAAUUGUGUACAACUAUUGACAUAUAUAUAUAUUAUAUAUGUAAAUAUAUAUUUUUUACAUGAAAAUAUAUUUAUUUAUUUAAAGAUAUAUUUAUAUCGUGCACUUUUGUGUAUAUAAAAUGAAAAUCCAUAUUCGACACUAAAUUCACCGUGUAUUUUUCUGUUCGUGUCCCAAAAACUGAAACCCAAACACUAACUUUUCGUGUCGUGUUGUCACGUCGUGUACCAAAUUGUCCAUGUGUUUUCAGUAGGGUACCAAAUUGUCAGGGCUACUUAAAACCCCCAAAAGUGCUAAACACUUCAUAUAGAUAGCAUAAUUUGAAGGUUACUGCAAGCACUUUAAAUUUAUUCUCUAAAUCUAUAAACUUUGCAGACACUUGAAGUGAGAAUGAGCCCUUCCUGUCAUCUGUGGAAGGUCUUUUACACUAACGAUCAGGAAUAGCAAAAACUAAAUGUCCUGGCAGUUUCAUCAAAUUAGCUCUUCUGUAAUCCAAUAUAAUUUUGAUAGGGGAAAAGCUAUUACUCAUUAAUUUAAGCCAACUUAUGACAGCAAAUGCUAUUACAUGCCUAAUCUAUUUGAGAUGCUUAAAAGAGUCUACUUUCUGCCAUGGUUGAAAACUAUCACAUCAUAGACAUAUAAAUGUCAAUACCUUUAGUUAGUCGGAAACAAAAUCUCGGUUUAGUAAUUAUUUUUGGAUUCAUCCCCUCCCUCUGAUAUUUUGUUUGUAAUAUGCACCACUCAAGUGCCUAAGAAAAUUCUCAAAGACUUAAUCAAGUUAAGAACAGAUAUAGUAGCUGGGCCCAACCCAGAUCAAGAUUAGCUUUAGAAGUUACAUGCUUCGCUGUAUUUGACAUUGAGUGAUUCCCAAAUUUCAUUUAAUUAAUCAGAUGGCAUUUUUUGCUAUUUAUAAGGAUAUCUGACCACUUGAGCAUCCCCUUGUCCCCUGGUACAGUUAAUUACACCCCAGAAAUAAAUUAAUACAGCACGCCACUCUAUAGAGAAAAAUGACAUGUACUUUGGUACUUGCAAAACCAAAACUAAAACAAGAAGCAAGUUCUUUUUUUAAUUUUAAUAACAAAGAAGUCCUUAUAUAGAUACUAUACAGUAUACACCAACCAAGCAGCUGGUAAAUUUUAUAAUAAUUCUCAGUAGGCAACUUUUCAUUAACAUCAACACAAUUAAUCUAAUUAUAAAUGAUUAUUAAAUACUUGAAACUUGAAAGAAAUCAGCACCUUGUUGCAACCUGGGACCAGUUCCUGGAGCAACUUCAUCCUAGCAUUUAUCUUCUCUCUCCUCGCCUGCCCCCACAUUAUAAUUGAAAAAUACAUCAUAAUCACACAAUAAUAAGAUAAGUAUAUAUACAAGUACUUAACACUAAUGACAAAUUAAGAAUGGAGCUAAUUAUGAGAUUACUCUUUCAGCUAAGCUAUGGCUAUCUGUAGCUUGGCCUCGACGAGCUCGGACGUGAACAUAAGGGAGCUUCUCCUUGUCAUUCUCCGCAUUUUUACUCUUUUUCGAGGGUGCUUUCGCCUAAAUUCACAAACAAGCCAUCAAAUUAGCCACAAAAACAAUAAUUACCAGAAAUAGAAACCCUAAAAACCGUAGUUGGGCACUCCCUACCUUCUUUUCCCUCUCUUUCCGCUUACUCGACUUUUGAUCACUAUUCGGAACCACUGAAUCAGACAUUCCUGGUGACGAAUUACGAUGCGAUUCAGACUCCACAGGCUCCUGCUUCACGUAAUUCGCCGGAAUUGAACUCCUCUCCGGCGAAUUCUCCGUCGCGAAAACAGAGAAUUUCGAAGCUCGGUCAAUUAAAGCAGGAUUAGACGGGAAAAUAGGAGCGUAAGGAUAGAGUUUUGGCUGUUGAGCUUCUCCGGCGAGUUUUUCCGGCGUGUGCAAGAGCUUGACGGCUUGAUUUGGCGGGAGUUCUAAAAGAGCGGUGAAAGAAUUACCGGAUUCCGGAGGCACGGACAUCAAGGUUUGAAGCUCUUCUCCGAAUCGGAGUGACUCGUCGGCGAUUUCUUCGACUAAUUUACCGGAUCGGACCUCCUCUGUUGGCUCCAUGUGAAUAUAUUUCAAUUGAUUAAUUAAAAUGUUUAAGUCUGAGUCCUUUAAAGUUAAAUUGUUGAGGUACACAGCCAAAGAGAGAAACAAUAAGAUGUAAAUGGUACUUGACACUUUCCAACAGCAGACGUAGUAUAUGAGAGAGAGAGAGAGAGAGAGAGAGAGAGAGAUUUAUGUGUGUGAAAAGGCAGGCAGCUAGAGCUAGAUAGAGGGUAUCAAUGGAGGUCAGUGAAUAUUAUAAUCUACUUAUCUACUUAUCUACUUAUAUAUAUAAUAGCCCAACACGUUCGUGUCAAGCCUCCAUCCUGAGCAAAUAAAUUACCUAGCUCCGAACCCGAGCCUAACUCCGAACCUAACUCCUCCUCAUACAUAUAAAAAAAAUGGUAUUCAUCGGACUCGAACCCAAGCCCUCUUCAUUACAAUUACACCACUCAAACCACUUGAGCUACAUAGGCAAUUAAUUUUUUUACUCAAAAGCAUUAAACUCAUACAUUAAAACUAUUGUAUUUAUAUUCUUUUCAAUAUCUUAUUUAUUUAUUAAUUUGAGAUAAGUUUUUGAGAAACAUUUAUUUGAGAUAAGUUAUUAUUUCAGGUAAGUCUCAUAUGUUUUUUACAUGAUAGAUUAAUAUCCAUAAAUUAAUUACUAACGUAAUAAAUUUAAAUUUGAAAAAUUUUUUGAACAAUUGGGUUCGAGGCAUGUUUCAGACUUCAAAAAAUGGAUAUAAUUCAUAUUUGAUUAAAAUUGGACGAAUUCAAAUCUAACUUAAUACUUUAAACGAGUAUCGGUACAAUAUUAGAGAAAUUUAAGUCAUGCAUGUGAGAAAUAAGUACCAAAACUAAGAUUUCGAUGAGCAUCUUUGAAAGGAAAAAUUGAUGGACUUUCAACAUGGACCAUGUCAUAUUAUUUUUCUUUAAUUAUAAAAGGUGACUUAUCAAGAGAUUACAAUAUUUUGAAAAACAUAAAAUAAGAUAACUGAAAGAAUAAUUUUAUUUAGAUUACUUUUUAUUUUAAACUUAUGAAUUCAAAAUUCGACGUGUAACCAAAUCUUUUCAAAAAAAAAAAAGUAUAGAUAUAAGAAUAGUGACAAAGACAUCAAAUUUGGUGUUAGAAAAUAUGUCUAAAUGAUGUGAUUUUGGUAUUUGAAAUAUUAUAUAACUUGUGAUACAAAAGUGAAUUUAGGGAAAUUCUAUGUUGUUAAUCAAAAGUCAACCAAAUAAUAAUAAAACGUGUUUACGAGACCUACUAAAAAGAAUUGAGUUAUAAAUUUUACUUGCUUAAAAUAAAAUAACACAGAGAAAUAAGUUAUAUAUAUAUAUUAAAGUCUUAAAACUAUAAUUUUAAUAUGCCAUCCAUCAAUGUAUAACAUACGAGUUAAAUAAAAUGAUUCAAACUAUAAUUAAAUUAAUUAAUCAUUUACAAAUUAAACUAAUAAAAUAUAAUUAAUUCUGAAAUGGAUAAUCCGACGCGAUAAGGUGAAAACUAAUAUCUGAUUAAACGGGAUUAGAACAAGAAUAGUUUUCCAUAAUCCAUAAUAUCGAAGACCUGAUUUGAUAUUUAACAAUUGAACAUGAUAUGCUACAUUGCUCACCCCUAAGAAAUAAGAGUAUCAUAAUAUUUAAAAAUGUGAGUUUGCACAAAGCUCAAAAAGUAACUAUACGACUAAUUAAACUAAAUAUUUCUUAUUUUCAUGAAUUUUAUGGUGCCUAACUGACAUCUACUCUAUUUUUGCUAUUUGACAUCUGGUUUAUAACAAUUACAUGAAAAAUCACUAAAAGUCUUAAUCAACAAGCUCUGAAAACUAAUGAUAAAAAAUUAAUAUUUUAUAACAAGACAAUAUUAUAACACGCGGUAUCAAAGUAAUAAUCAUCUAAUAUUUUAAAUUAACAAAAAAAAAUAAGAUAUUGAAGUACUAUAUAAUUGAUAUGAAAAUUAAAAGAAUAAUCCACAUCAAACGUGUAGGAAUUUUUCGGGUACAAUUAUAAAGUUAGUAGUUCAAUUGAUGCUUUUAAAAUAAAUUAAGGUAGGAUCUUUUACAUACAAUAUAUGUUUCAAUUAUUAUUUAUACAAGGUGUGUGCAAUAUAUGCUAAAAAAUAAUGUGUUGAUGGUCUGUCCAUCAUAUAUCACUUAACUAUUACACAAACGUACGCUCAAAAAAAGAGAAAUAAAUAUAAAACAACGCGGAUCACACAUCUUCAUCUAAUCAUGAUUUAGGAUAUCGUAAUUCACAUAUCAAGAACAAGUUUUCAUAUUGGAUGAAAUAAUUUAAUAAUUUUCAACAAUAAAUUACAGAUCUUUUUAGUGAGGUAUAAUAUAUUUAAAUUCUAAAAGUUUCAGUAUUAACUUCGAAUAUAAUUUUGAACAUGUAGAUAAUAUGGCAGUGGCCUCUAUAUCCUAACGAAUUUGAAUAUAGAAAAAUAAGUUCAAAUGUUAUUUUUGAUCCAUAAUUUUUUUUUGAAUAUAGUACAUAUUAUUACUAUCAAUGCUAUUAGAUUGCAAAUGUUACAUUUCAUAUUUACAUAUUCAGUUAAAAAAUAAGACGUAAUAGUUAUACUCGGAAUAAUAUGAUAACACACGAAUAUUAUUUAAAACACAACAAAAACUAGAGUCCCGUGCCUCGCACGGGCUUUUAUGCUAGUUUGAUAAUUAAAAAAGAAAGCGAGGAAAUGGAAAUAAGGCAAUUAGGCAAAUGAAGUACAGGGAAAGCAACGUUGUGUUGGGGGGAGAGAGAGAGAUGGGAGAGAGGGAGAGAGCGAGGGAGAGAGAGAGAGAGAUGGGAGAGAGGGAGAGAGAUGUAUAGGAGGGGGCGUAGAUAUGGAGGGAGGGGGGGUACUUAGUGGUUAAGUGGCGCAGGGGAGGGGACCGUGACCCGACACUAUAUUAUAACCGUAGAAGCGAGACUGAUGGGUCAUUAUCUUGCAUUUAUAACGUCGCUUUUAACUAGAGCGGGGCUACUAUUUUUACUCUUUCCAGCUAAACACCAUACUACUUGUAGCAUUUACUUGUUAAGUUGCCAACUUGCUUCAUCCGCUGUCUUCUUUCCUGCCUUCCCUCCCCUUCCAAGUACCACUGUCCAACACUGACAGUGGCGGAACCAGAGGGGGGCUAGGGGAUGCUAGAGCCCCCCCUAACCUCGAAAAAACAGUGUUAAUUUUUUUCCCAGCCCCCGCUGAAUUAUUCAUGUCAAUAUAAUUUAGGGCACUUAGAUCGAGUUCAAGAGAUGUCUUAUAACACGUCUUAAGUCAAAAUUUGGGAUAUUUGAUGAAAAAUGUUGAUCCAACAAUAUCCUAGUGAUGCCUUCUAUCACUAGAACAACCUCUUGAAACCUUAUUUAUAAAGCAUAUCUCUUCUUGUUAUAUCCUAUAUAUUAUUAUAAUAGUUAUACAUACUCUCUUUCUCUCUCUGCUUUGAACUUGCUCUUAGUCUAAAGAGAGUCUGAUUAACAAAUACAUUCAAACAGGUACACUCAUAAGUCAUACGCACACACUCUCAUCAUGAACUUGGUCUUACUUCACCGUUGAGAAACAACACUACUCUAACUCAGCUUCUCACUGCGAUAAAUUCAUUCAGCCGUGAACCCGCGACAAUAUGCUCAAAUGCGCUCUCCUUUCCGGCGGCCAUGUCACUUAAAAUUGGUUGUUUACGAUUUUUCGGAGGUCUACAAUGGCAUAAAAAAAGUCGAUGUACUAUGAGUCAAUUUUUUUUUUCGACGCCGCUUCUUAUUGCUGUAUUUAUGUUAAUGCACUCGGAAAACGUUCUCUUUUAGGCCUUUUAACCAAUAACUACGUGCAACCUAGAGAGAUGGUCGUAUCUCUUUAAUGAAUGUGGUAUCAAUGUUCGAUUCAAAUUUCAAUCGGUCCCUCACAAUCUCACUUGCUUCCAAAUUUGAGCCCCCCUAAAUAUUAUUCCUGGUUCCGCCACCGAACACUGAUAUAGUAGCUUGUCAUCUAUGUUUAUCCCUCAAUUUAUUUUUUAUUUUUUUGCAGGACAAUUUAGCACUAACAACAAUUUUCUUUCUUUCUUUUAAAUGUUUUGCCACCUUGCUUGAUGGUUGCUUCACGCAUGGUAACACGUUCGAGUUUGAAAUUGGAACUUGAUAAAAUUGAUGAAAGAGCUGAUUCCGAACAUAUUUUGAUUAAUCGAAUUAUAUUCGUGCCAUUUUUAGAUUUAAGGUGUGAGUUGCACUGUGAAUGAUAUCAAGAAGGAUGUUCAGAUAUUUGAUUGUAUUGUUUUAAAUGGGAUGAAAUCAUGAAAGAAUGAAAUAAAAAUUAUAAAAAAAAUUGAAAAUUAUACAAAAUAUGAGAUAAAAAAGAUUAACUUUGAGUGUGUAUAAAUAUUUUUAUGAAUGAAAUUAUAGAGAUAUAUGAUGGAAAAGUUGAGACAAUUAUUCUUCUGAAAUGUGGAUAAAAUUUUUGAUACAAAAUUAUGUAGCUGAGACAAUUAUGAUGAAAAGUUGAGACAAUUAUUCUUGUAAACGGACUAUUUUAUGUAGCGUUUUGUUCUUAAAACAUCAUAUCGUGUCGUGUUUUGUCGGAUUUUUUUAUCUGAACGUAAUACGAUCUAGUAUUUUCGUCCUAAAAACAAAAUGAAGGAUUAUCCGACGCAUUUAAAUGAUAUUUGUGAUCAUUUAUCCCCAUUCUAUUAUUUUAAAUAUUAUUUGUGAAUUUUGUAUAAUCUAUGAAAACAAAGACUUAUUUGGAGUUGAAAGUUGCAUUUAUACAAUACUUUUUAUAAUUACGUAUUUAACAUAUGAUUGCUAUUUCUUAUGCUAUGAGUCGCUUAUUUCCAAAAACAAUUACACAUUUUCGUACUUUAGACUAAUAAAUAUAUGAUUUAUUUUUAAAGAAAAAGAAAAGCUAGACAUGAUGAAUAUAUGAUCAAAUCAAACAUGCAAAAGUUUGAUCACUAAAUUAUAGUUGGGUACAAUUUGUUGUAAUAGUUAUCUUGAUCUAUUUUGAUAUUAAAGAUGAUUUCGAAUAUUUAAAGUUCAUAUCUUUAAAAUCAUAUAAAUAACUUAUUAUUAAAUUUUUAAAUAAUUUUUUAAUUUAUUUAUGUGAUAUUAUAUUAAAAUUACAAACAAAAGGAAAUUAUUAAAUUAAAUAAAUAAACAAGUUAAUAAAUAUUAAAAUACACCCCUGUUAUCAGCCAUAUACUUUAGUAAAAUAUGCUUCCGAGUUCCGAGUAAAGUACAGCAAUCCUUUAGCUUAGCGUGAUCCAAAAUUUUUUAACAUUCAAAUAUUAUUAUUUUUAUUAUUUGAUGAUUUUGUUAACUUUUAUAAAUUAAUAAAAAUUAUAAUAUAAUUAAAACAAUGAUUAAUUAUAAAUUAAAAUUUCAAAAUAUAUAUAAUUUCAAAAUACAUAAAAUUUCAACAAUUUAUUAAUUGCUACAAAAAAAUCAAAAAUAAAGAUGUCCAUCUUGAACUUCGAAAUGCACUAAUUGAGCAUGUGUGAAGAAUAUACUGAUUAUAUGAAUUAGUAUUUUAAUGUAAUAUUUUAAUGUUUUUAAUUUAUUUUUAUGUACAGUUUUAUCUUUUUCAAAUCAUUUUGUAAUAUUUUAUAUUUUUCUAGUCAUUUAUUGUGUUAUUAUUAUUAUUGAUGAAAUUACUUAAUCAUUUUUAAAAUAUUUAAAAUCAAAGUAUAUAAAUAUUUUAAACAUGAAUGAAUUUGAAUUUAUAUUUAAAUCAUAUGAUUGGAAUAAAAUUUGCAUCUCGUCCUAAAUUUGGAUCAUUUAAUGAUCCAAAUUUGAAUCUAUGAUUGGAGUUGGACAUGGAACAACCGGUGAACAACGGAGGUCAAGAAAUGAGAAAAAACUUGUUGGUGGUCAUUGACUCAUUGUCAAUAUCAAACCAGCAAAGUUAUAUAUGUGAACUAAGUUGGAGGCGAUGCAACAAGACUUUGAUUCCUUUUGAAAAAGGACCUUGGUGAAACAAAUUGAAAUGAUUUUCCAUGUAUUUUCGGCCAACAAGACGUACGGCUGCUUGUUUUACAAAAGAUAACAACGUCUCUCCAACCCAUCAUCUUAUGACAUAUUCAUCCGGAUGUUUAAACUUUACUCCAUGCAUAUUUUACAACUCUUCCCUUGCUUUGCGUACAAAACUUAUAUAUUUUCAUUAAAAAUGAAUACUUCCAUAGAGUGCUAAAAAGCACGAACCAACCAUUUUUCAAAGUUAAAAUGUGGGAAAACGUAUUUAGUGCUUAAUUCUUUAAUUAGACGGUUAUUAAACUGCGUCAUCAAUUAAGAGCAAUGAAUUCGUGGCAAGUCUGUUGGGGUUUUGUAAUUUUUAGAUGGGAUAAGAUGAAAUUCCGGACAAGCAAUAUCAUAAAUUUAUUUAUAUGUACAAUGUUUUUUUAUCCAAAAAUAAUGGAUGGAAUAAUAAAUAAUGGAUGAGAUAAUAAAGAGAGCAAAUGCAUUAUUGAGAUGAAGGGGGAACAACAAAACCAGAAUUUGGCAGACGCAAAAAUCUCAGACUUGCUACGCUCCUAUAUUUGGAAUUUCCAAUUCGGCCAAUUUAGGGUUUGUUUGCCCAGUUUUUAACAACUUACUCGGAUAUAAGAUCUCGUAAUCUUCAAGUACAAUCCUUUCUACUUCGGUCUUCACUUUAAAGCUUCUUCCACUCUAUGAAACUUUUUUUUAAUUGAAAUAUAAGAGCACGCAGCUAGUAUCCACGAGCUCACAGACAGACUUAACCGUAUCAUAUAUUAUCCACACACAUAUAAUUGAGACCAAAAUUUCUUACUUUAUAUAUAAGAGCAACUCUAAUAUAUGAAUUUUUUAGACAAAAAAAAGAAAAAGAGAUGAUCUUAUAAGUGGCAUCAUCAUAUAUCAUUAUAUAAAAAUAUUAUAUUUCAUUUAUAAUAAAUUAAAAUAAUAAUAAUAACCGAUUUAAAAAAUAUAGUCAAUUGAUAUAAUCGAUAUUAUCAAAAUAAAUUAAUUUACAGAUUCAAGAAAUUUUACUAAAUAUCUUAUAAUUUCAAUUUAGUCCACUAUAAUAACGGACCGAUUGAAGACAUCCUGAAUCAAUAUAAGAAAUACAAGUACAAAUAAUUAUUUGGAAUUAUAACAUUGUUAUAUGAUGAUAAACGUGAGAUAUAUUUCUAUAAACAAUAUAUAAACUGACCUAUUAGUCAGAACUGGCGGCAAAAUAAGACUUCACCAAACAUACACUAGAUCUGGAGCUGCAGAAGAUGUUUUAUUGCUCAUUGAUACUGUAUCAAUUUAUUUAUAUUGUUUUUUCUUUUACAUUUCCAUCAAGGCGAGCACAAAAAAAGGUAUACAUGCGUGCGAGAAGUGCACAGAGGGGCAUCAAUUCAUUUUAUUCGAUGUUGCAAUUAAACUUUCGACUUCCUUGAGAAAAAUUUGGGGCCUAGAUAAGAAAGUGCACAGUGAAUGGACCACAAAAAUGAAGGAGAGCCCACUCUAAUGUAGUGGGCCUCUGCCCACGUGAUAUCCUCGUAAAUGCUUUAUCAUGCAUGCUGCUCUCCUCCCCCUUUCACUUAUUUCUUUUUAGAUAUUUUGCGUUUCUGACACACUUGAAACUACCACUACAGCGACGUGAGACGUCCUUGGGUAUAAAUAACUUCGUGUGUGUGUGUAUAUAUCAUCCUUUUAGUGUAUUAUUAAAAAAAUACAACUAAAUUUUUAUCGAACUCAGAUGUACAUAAAUAAGUAUGCUUUCGGACGAAGACACAAAUUCUGAGACAAAUUAACAAAUAUAAUUAUUAUAAAUUAUUAGUUUAUGCAUUGUUUUGAUAAUUUAUAUGGCAUUAAAGUGUAUAAAGAAACUAACUGGUAAAAUUAUGAUUACAAUUAAAUAAAUAUCCCCAACUCCGAUAAUUUGAAUUCGAAGCAAUACUGUAGAAGGAUAGUUUGUCAGGUUAAAAUACUAAUAAUUUGUUAAUUUUUUUAUAAACUGAAAAUUUCAAUCAAUUUAUAUUGUGAUAGCAGAAGGAUAACUUUUGAAGUUAAAACACUAAUGAUGAAUUUGAACUAAAAAUAAUUAUUUUAAAAGUAUUUCAAACAAAUUCGGAACUAAAAAGUAUGAAUAAUUAUUAUCUUCCCUUAAUAAACGGACGGUCAUUUUAGUAAAUCUAGAACUGAAAAAUGAAACUAAUAUUAUGGUUUUAUACUAUUAAAAAUUUCCUUUCAAAUAAUUUAAAACUCACAGCAAGACAAUUUCUUGUUUAUAUUAUCUUUCCUGCUACUAAAAAAAUUUCUUACACCAAAUUUGAAACCGUUAUUUCAAAAUAACUCUUACAAAUCAAAAACUACUAUUCAAAAAUUUGAAUUUGGAAAAAUUAGUUUUUAUUUUAAUAUUUAUAAUUAAAAAUUACAGAAAUUUAGAAACAUGAACUCAAACAGUCAAGAGUUCCGGUUCGCUCGGCAAUUUCAACGGUGAAAUCCAAUGAAAUAAUUUAUUUGGGCCAGAAGGGUUUGAUAAUUCUGAGCCACUGGGCCAAUAAUGGCAAACAAGAAGACAACACAAAUCCACUUCAGGAGCAGGCAAGUGGGCCAAAGACCUCAAACCAACAGUCACAGUGGGUUUUAUUACGGUCCCAAAACAUUGGACCCACGUAACCCAAUAACCACCAAAGUUUAAAAGACAGCGACUUGAUGUAACUUAUUCUUCUUCUUCAACAAGGUAAAAUGAAAAUAGUACUGGCCAGCUGGAAAAAGAAGAAUGAUAGCUGGACGAUAUGUCUAUCUAUUAUUACUUGUACAUAACUGAUGUUUACAUGUCGUGUCGUGGAUCUUUGUCAGAUAUCCGAAAGUUUGGAGUUGCAAAACGGUGGGGGCAAUUUGACAUUGAUUUGCUCUUUCCUGUUUUGUUUAAACUUUUUCCAGGCCAAACAUUAGCCCAGUGGAACUUGGUUCAAGCAACAUGCUCAACUGCAAAAUAUCAACACCAUGCCCACUAGCUUACUUCCAAGCUCAAAGCACCGGACACAUGUCACACAUGUAUCCCGAGUUGCCAGUCACUCGUCACAAGGAUAACUCAGUAGGAAUGACAAUGAUUUAAGUUUUAAACGUCUAAAAAACUUUCAGAAGCAUAAUACAGAUGCAAAUGUGUGACAUAUAAACCAGGGAUCCUGAAAUGAAUGUUGGGUGGCGGGUGGUUAUAGUAACAAACAGAUGACCAAAUCAUCAUGGAACUUCACAUCCAGUGCAUGUUGCUAAACGGUAAAUGAUUACAAAAUGAAGAGAACAAACAUGAGCCUUGCCUAUAUAUCAUGAAAACUGGCAAGGUAAUUUAAGAGGGCAACUAGUAUACAAAUAUCUUACACGUGAGACUAGAGUAAAAAAUGGUUAAGGCAAAUAUCUAAAAACAGGUCAUUAACAUCAUUCUUUGAAGCUUCAGGUCGAUUACACUUAUGUCAGUAAUGCAGACCUCCUAGCUUCUUUACAAAGUUACAGAAGAGUUAUACAAGCAAUAAUCCGUGGAUUAAUCAAACAUCCCAAAUUCAUGGAGGCCCCCAUCCUGAUCUAUUGCAUGGUGGACUACUGUGAAAACAAGCCUGCAAAUUACAAUUUCCCAUUAUAUAUUAUAAUGAAAUAAACAAACACAAAUUAGUAGCUACCACCUCUUGGCACAAGUUAACUAGAUAAAGGGGGACCUAUACUUUUUUUGGGUUAAUAGGCUAAAUCAUGAUUUAACUCGGAAAGCUUGCAGUCGACUCGCUACAAAAUUACACAUUUGCAGUUAGAUAACAGGCGUUACAUUAUAAACAGAGUAGAUGGAUGGCGGACAUGUCAUGCAUGUCUCAAAAUCUGAUCCAAAAGCAAAUGACCCAAGUCAUUAAUAUAAGCCUACCCUUCUACCCAACUGAAAACCCAUUGAAUCUUAACAUAAUGAACUCAACCUUUUUUUUCAAAUCGAUCCUGCUACUCAUUCAUCUCAUCAUCAUCUCUUCUGAUUCUGUUUUCACCUUUAAAGAAGUUGAAUGUGUAUUCCAAUUUCAAACUUUAUCAUCCUGAUUAAUCUUCUUGCUGAUUGUUCAAGGUUGGCCUUAGCUAUACCCAAAUUAAGAAUUCAACAUUUGAAAAAAAAAUUGAAAAAGAAAAAAAUCUUUCAUGGAAGACGCGAGAAGCGAGAAUCACCAAUUUCUGACCCCGCCUCAACCUGAAAAUCUGGCUAAUCGAUACAAAUUUGUAGCUACAACUUUAUACCUAUAUCAAAACCACAACCGUAUCACCAAAUUUAUAGGCACCCAAGUUACUGUACCAAAUUUACAGGCACCCAAUUACUAUCCUUACUACUGAUGAGCAUAUGCUUGCUCCGUGUAAUCUCCUAUUCUAAGCAUGAUUGGUUGCACAGUUGCUUUUGACAUAAAAAAUGUUGUAUGGUAAUUUGUGUUUAUGUUAACUGUUGUGUGUGUGUGUAUACUCACGCACAUAUGAUUAGUUCAGAAUAAAGAAAAUUAAUUUGGGUAUAUGGUAGGAAUAGAUGGAUGAGUAAAGGAUUGGCUUUAAGUUUUUUAUUACGUAUCACCUAAUGUGGUAGCUUAUGAAAUUAUAUAAGUUCAUUAAUAUUCCGUAAUGGAGAAAUUACUAUUUGAAAUUUUAAUCUGAUCUCUUUUACUCCUACUAGAAUCUUAAUAGUUUAAACAAGAUUUGAUAAUAUGAAAAUAAAUAUUGAAGUGUUAUUUAGUAAAGUGAUUGCAUUGAAUAGGAAAAGUAACAACACUAGAUAAAUUUUAAUUUACUAAUGGUUAUUCUUUAUUAUGAAGGUGAAAAAUUGAAAAUUCUACUUAGAUCAAUUAAAUAAAAUCGUUAGUAUGAUUAUAUUUUAAGUUGUUAAUGUGAUAGUGAAUAAAUUUAAGUAUAAUAAUAUGGAUUAUUAUGUGAUUUAUGUAUAUAAUGAAAAUAAAAUAAAAUUUAAAGUACAAAAAUACUAAUAUUUUUAGAUUUUUUUUUAAAAAUUACUUUUUCAUAAUAAGAGGCUAAUUAAAGUAUAACUUAUAAGUAAUAUUUCAAAUUAAUAGAAGAUAUAUAUACAUACAAUAAUAUGAAAAUAAAUAUAAUAUAAGAAAAUCUAUAAAUAUACGGUAUAAGAAUUUAUAAUGGAUUGUUUUAUUAAUUUAAGUGAACGCUAAAAAAGAUUUUAUACCAAUAUUACUCUAUUUCCUUAUUCUAGAGGGGUUAGAAAGAUUUAUUACUAAAUAUUAUGAUAUUUUUCUUAUCCUAACGAGGGCUAUAGUCUCCACUAGCCCCUGUGUAGCUCCAUCACUGGGUACUCUAGACAAGAGACACCUUUGGUACUUGCCACCUAUCAAUUGUACUUAUGUUACUGAAGCUGGCCAUGCAUUUAUGUUACUCUAUGCUAUUUAUAGGUUGUAUAAAGCAGAUAAGAGAACUUGCACAUGCCUUAAGGUCAUCCAGGAUAAGAAACCAUUCACCAAAACCAAAUAGAAUACACAGUCAAAACAACUAACAUCUCAAUUGUAAACACAGAAAGAAACUUGCAGGAUUCCUUUGUUUCGUUCAUUAAAUUUCAAGCCAAAAAUGUACAUGGCUUAACACAUUAAAACUCUUGUUAAUUGAAACAAAUGUGCAUAAAUCAGGAGCCAUGCCUAUGAUUUACAACAGAUUUACCCUUAUUCAUAUAUCAAUCCCGAAGGAGAAAAUAUUCUAAUACUAUAUCAGCUUUAGAAAAUCUCAAAUUUAAAAAACCUGAAAUCAUCCUAACGUAUAGAUCGCCAACCUUAUUAUUAAGGGCGAAAAGCAACAAAGUAGUAUACGGUGACAUCUGGUGGUGCAAACCCUAGAAUUCAAGGAUGGACGAGCGAAUGUCUAAUUCUUCAUUACUGACAUGGAAGAGAGAAAUCAUGGUAGACAGUGCUCCGGAACCAAUAGUUCUAACCCAAACAGAAUUAAACACUAAAUUAGCAAAGACAAAGCUGGAUGUAUGCACUAUACAACACAACAUAAUAGAGAGAGAAAUAAAAGGGAGGAGGUGAGAGAGAGUCUGAG